CUGGAGACACCAUCCUCUUCACUCAAAAUAUCGGCACACACAUACGCCCAAUCGCUCGCACACACACACGCAAUCCUCUCCCUUCAUAGCUCACUCAAAAUCGCACACUAAUCCGCACAUACCCAAAAAAAAUAAAGCCGAUUGAGAGAGAGGGUGACGAAUAGAGAGAGAUAUAGUUAUUUUGGUUUCGGGUUUGUUGCUGGAUUUCGACAUUUUCCGUUAGCUUAUUCCCUUCACAGCUCACCGGAGCUUAGAUUCGGACUGGUUUUGAGCUCUCAGUUAGACUUCGGAGACGUUAGUUAUCAUUUGCUCGUCAUUCGUCUUCCGAUAUCGUGCCUUUGAAGGUUUUUGAUACCGGGCUGGUCUAUUUUUCUGUUGCUAUUUUGCUAUGGUUUCAUCGGUCUUCGCUACUGAUUUGAAGAUUAGAAUCUCGUUCGUCUCAAAUCGUUAAUCGUGAUCAGUUUUUUGGUCUUCAAUCUUUGAUACCGAAUCUGGGAUUAUCGCAUUUUGGAUUAUUUCUCGACUGAUUUGGAGAGUCGAGAUUUCGUUGGUAUUCUUCGAGGUUCUUGGACGGCUCUUAUUUCUCUUAUUAAAUCAAUCGACAUCGCCUGAGGUCCAAUUCUAACUUUUCUCUUUUUGAUUUUCUCGUGAUUACAAAUGAUUUGUAUGCUUAAAUGUUUGAGUCCUUGUUUGGGUAUGUGUUCAAUAUUGAUUUCGGAUUUGAAGAAGUAACUUGAUUGUCAAAUUAGUUGUUUGGGGUCUAGAUUGAAAAUUAAUAAUCGAAUAAGUCGAAGGUUGUUUAUUUUGAUUCAUUAUUGAAUAUUGUUGAAUUGGAUAGCAUCAUGAUUAGGCCAUCUAAUGAAUAGGUUAAAGUAGGUUCGGGUAGGCAAAUAUUUAGGAAUAAGUGUUUGCUCGUUGAAUUAUUGAAUGCUUGAAAUGCGUGUUGAAUGGUUUGGUUUUAUUGCUUUUGGAUUGAAUGUAUCAUUUAGCCGGGGAAUGCCCCGAGACACAUUGUAUUUAUUCACUGGGGAAUGCCUCGACGUACUAUGUUGGCGGAAGACGUUCGUGAUGAAGGCCCGAGGCAUCGGGUAGCUUGGGAGCGUAGUUAGGAUUAGUAUAGGUUAGAUAAGAUUUAUUUUUCGCAUUUUAUUUAUUUUGGGUAUGUAUAAUCGGACUGAACACUAUACUUUGAUUCAUUUUGUUUGGUUUGUUUGUUUGCUUUACGUGCUUCCUUGUGAUUUGUACAUUCGUAGUGUCAAAAUUAGCCGAUACGAUCCACCAAGCGUCCGUGGUCGAACCACGGGAUCGAGGGGUGUCUAACACCUUCCCCUUGGUCAACAAAAAUUCCUUAGUCAGAAUCUCUGUUCGCGGAUCAGUUCUAUAGAGUCCAAAUCAUUUUGAAAAGGGAUAUCCAUGGGUAACUUGGCACACCCGAUUUAUGCCAAGUGGCGAAUCUGAGUUUUGAAUAUAAAAGAUCCUUUUCAAAAAAAAAAUUUCAUCUUUUGUCACUUUGAUAAUAAAACCCUUUUGAACCUAAAAUGAAUCUUUUCCGGAGUUGAAAAAAAAGGGGUGUGACAGCUCUGGCGACUCUGCUGGGGAAUCAUUUUUCAAAAUUCGAGCUUAUUUUUUGGAGUUGUAUUGGCUUAGUUUGGCAUUAGGGGUGUAUAGACAUUGUUUGUGUUAUCGUUUGUGUUUAUUUUAUCAUUGUUGAGUGCCUACGUGCUCUUUGUUACAGUUUUUCCUUAUGUGUUACUGCUUUUAUAUCUGGCAUCAUUUGCAUAAUCCGAAUCAAUUCUUUCUGCAAUAAGUCUUGGAGUGCCGUCGUGUACACGAACUCUAGUUGACUCACCUUUAUUUUAGGAGGGGGAGCCGUCGGACGUAUGGAGUGGGUAGAAAGUUGUCGCAGCCACUAUCGACCAUACGCUUUCCGAACAGCCUUGUUAGUAAAUCCAGCGUAGGUCAUCCUUUAGGUCAUGCUUAUGUGCAUUAUAUUGAGACCUAGCGAGGCCCACUUGGUCCUUUGUAGGAGACUCACCUCUAAAGCAUCCCUACAUGCUAAAUGUUGCAUCUUUGAGGGUGAUGUGGUCAUUUGACGGACUAAUUCGGGAAAAACAUGUGUUAGAAGUAAGGUGUGUUUGAAAAAAGAAAAGAAAAGAAAUGAGUCAAAAGGGGUUUCUUUUAGUAUUCUUUAUGGCUUUAGUUUUUCACAAUUCAAAAAUUCAAAAAGAUUUUUUUACCUUUCGCACUCAUUUUCUCAAAAAACAAAAUUUCAAAAAGAUUUUCCCUUUAUCUCCCUUAGCACGCAUUCAUAAUUCACAAAUUCCAAAAAAAGAUUUUCUUUAGAAGUGUCAAAAAUGGUAGUAGUUGUGACCAUUUCAUAAAAAAAAAAAUGCCAAAAAGAUUUUUCUUUCAUAGUUGUUAGUGUCAGUCUUACGUGAAUUGUCUAAAUGAAAACUCGAAAAGAUUUUAUUUACAUUGUUCAUCGUCUGUCUUUGGUCGUGUCUCUUAAGUCAGGUUCAGUUUAUUAUUUAAUCCUCAAUUGUCCAAUCUGGAUGAACAGCACCCCUGAUUUUCCUCUUUCGGGAGUGAGAUACGUAGGCAGCCUAUUAUAGGUUCAGAGACCUUAUUUAAAAAAAGAAAUCCAAAAAAAAAAAAAUUUCUUCACUCUUUAGUUAGAAUAGGUGUUUCAUACAUGUCUUAAAAAGAAAAAUACAAAAAAAAAAUCUCAUUGAUAGCCGUAGGUUUUAUUUUUGGUUGAUCUUACUUUAAAAAAUUCAAAAAGAUUUUUCUUCACUCUUCAUUUAGAGUAGGUGUCACAUAUAUCUUAAAAGAAAACCACAAAAAGAUUUUCUUUUAAUAGGUUCGAGUUUUAUUUUUGCAUAAAAUUCAAAUCUGAAAACCCAAAAAGAUUUUUUUGGUAAUCAUAGAAUUUCACUUCGUAGAGGGGUGUUUAAACCUGAAAAAUAUAAAAAGAUUUUCGUCAAUUCUUGUGACAAAUUGUUAUUUUCUUUUCUUCCUAAAGUUUCAAGAAAAAGAAAAAGAGAAAGAGUUUAAUUUGGCCAUUUUUGGCAAAACUUCAUGAACUACGCACAUCUGAUUCUCCUCUUUCGGGGGUGAGAUACGUAGGCACCCUUUUCGGGUUAGGUGACCUUUUCAAAAUGAAAAAAAAAAAGAAGUUUUCGAAAAAGUGUUGAAUUCUAACACAUUGGUUAUCUCUUGUUCAGUUAGCUUAAGGUGGUUGGUUUGUGGUACUUUGGCUGGCCCUCCAUAUUGCACCAAGUCCAAGAGAAAGUUAUGGCUAACAAAGAUACCGAGUUAGUUGUCACUAAUCAGAUAGGGAGUUCGGGAAAUGAGAAUUUAGGAGCUAAUGAAGAGAUUCAAAAAUUAAGACCGCAAAUAAUAGAAAUGCAUCGAGCUUGGGCUAAUGGGUUGCCGCCUCCUCCAGUUCCCACUGAUAAUCUGGAAUGUCUUUCUAGCUUGCUUCCUGUGUCACAUACACAAUUUCCUAUUUUUGUUGAUAUGCCAUAACAUGCAUCAGGAUCGACUCCAGGGAAACAAUAUCUAACCACUUUCGAUGUUCAUUUCCUCACUCCCCAAUCCAAGACUACCACAUACUCGGCUUCACCUAAUGUUCAUAAUUUUGCGGCGCCGCCACCACCUGAAGCUCCUACUUUUGAUGUUCCUCCACAAGUUGUGCCUUACUACUCCACAAGAGAGCCUGCAUUGAAUAUUACUGGUGAUCAGCGUUACACUCCUGAGUCUACAUUCAAGUUAACUGGUCUUUAUGGUGACACUCACCCACCUGAAUUCCCUUCUAACACUGAGAAGCCUUUUAUGAUAGAAGAACAAGAGGAAAUAAUCAGAAAAUUGAGAAGUUUGGAACUGGCUAUGAAGAAUUCGCAAGGACUUGGGGAUUACAAAAGUGUCUCAUAUAAGGACUUAUGCAUGUUUCCAGGUGUCAAGCUUCCUCCUGGCUUUAAAAUGCCAAAGUUAGAGAAAUAUGACGGACAUGGGGAUCCGGUGUCACAUUUAAGGCGCUAUUGUAACCAAUUAAGGGGCGUUGGAGGGAAGGAAAAACUACUCAUGGCUUAUUUUGGGGAGAGUCUUUCAGGCCUAGCUUCGGAAUGGUUUGUUGACCAAGACAUUAACAAGUGGAUUAGUUGGGAUGACCUAGCUAAUGAAUUUGUGCAACAAUUUCAAUACAAUGUGGAGUUGAUCCCUGACAAAAAAUCCCUAAUUAGUAUAAAAAAAAAGAAUACUGAGAGUUUCAGGGAGUAUGCGAUCAGAUGGCGUGAACAAGCUGCUAGGGUGAAACCGCCAAUGAAUGAAAGUAAGAUAGUGAAGGUAUUUAUUCAAGCGCAGGAUGAAACAUAUUAUCAACACUUGUUACCUGCAUUAGGCAAGUCGUUCAUUAAAGUCCUUAAAAUAGGGGAGAUGAUAGAAGAGGGAAUUAAGACUGGUCGCAUUAUGAGUUUUGCAAUAUUGAAAGCGACUACUCAAGCAAUUCAAAAGAGUUCAGGAAGUGUUGGGGAGAAAAAGAAUGAGGAAGAUUAAUCUGCUAUUGUAGUUGGAUAGCAGGAUAGGUCAAGAAGACCCCGUCGUCGUCACUCUCAGGAUCAAACCCAAGUUCAUGCCCAUGCUCCACAUAAUCACUCCCAAAAUUCAUUAUACUCUGCUCCUCCACCCCCGUAUCAAGUUUAUAACGCACAACCAUAUGUUCACCCCCCAUGUUACCCAUAAUGGAACACACCAACUCCUCAGAGUCGUCCUCUAACUCCAUAAAUAUACCAAAGCCCUUCUAAGACUAAUUUUCGAUCCAAGCCAAACGAUGAAAUGAGGCAGAAGUCAAGAAAUAGCUUCACACCAAUUGGAGUCGUAUGCCAGUUUAUUUUAGAGAUUGGUACAAUGGGGCAUGAUCACUCCUCUCCUUGGGUGCACUCUUAAUCGGAGUUCCAAAAAUUUUGAUCUGAAUGUACGAUGUGCGUAUCAUUCUGAUGCUCAGGGUCAUAGUAUUGAAGAUUGUCGACAUCUGAAAAGAGAUAUUAAAAAGAUGAUUCAAGAUGGAUUAAUUAUGGUGCAGAACAUUGACAGUGAGAGAAACUCUAGUCAUGCUGAUAUGCAAACUAGUGGCUAAGAUGUCAGGCUGAGCAAUUGAGAAGUCACCCUUCUCCUUACUAGGGAGAGGUUUGAUAGUUUGUUUUGUUUUAUUUUUUGUUAUCCGAAUUAUUUCAGGGUUGUAGUUCGGGAUCUAUCUUGUUUUGUCCUUUUGUCGUUUAUGUUGAAACCCUUCUAUCUUUUGUUUCAACUAAAUGAAGUGUCCUAUUUUCCUUUGUGUUUUAAAUAUGUUUUAUUUGUUUGUUUUCUUUACAUAGUACAUUUUAUGUUGACUUUAAUGAUAUGACAUGCUAGAAAAAUAUUUCAGUCAGAUCUUAAAAUCCGGUUUAAGCAUGAGUAUUGAAUCAAGGGGUUAAAGUUAGAAAAAAAAGAGUGUCUGAGAAAAUAGUAGAGUGCUGAAACAUUUGGUGACAAGUUCAAGACUUCUUUGAAAAUUAAGGCCAUUUAUUUUGAGAAUCAAAAGAAUAACUUGGUCAUCAAUUGAAAGACAUGUCUCAAUUAGGUCAAACAGUGUCUGGGUGAUCCUAUCAAGAAGAGCAGAAAGAAAAUCAACUCCACGAAAGCAUGAGUCAUUCAAAGUGAGGGAUGCACAACAAAUGUGGAGUUGUACGUUUGAAAAGUAUAGAAAAAGAGGUGACACACAUGCUCGGGGAAAAUUAGUGUUGUAAAACAUGUCAUAAGUGAUGUUGAUCGUGCACUUUCACAUUGCAUGCUAUGUACUAGUAUUUUCAAAGAUUGAUAUCACGAAAGCAUUUUAUUCUGCUAUCCAAACAUUGUGUCAUCCUUUGUUACCCUAUUUGAGCCUUAGUGUUAUUUUCUUUCAUACCCCUCUUUGGGUAUCAAGAUAAAGCUAGCAAAGCUUAAAAGAAAAGUAUCGAGCAAGAGAAUAGAGUCAGAAAGUUUCAAAAAAGAAGAAGAGAAAAAUGUGUCCACAAAGGAAGAAAAGAGUGUCAAGAAAUUGGAGUCAGAAAAAUCACAAAGAAAAAAGAGUACAAAAAAAAAGAACAAGUCAGAAUCAAGCAAAAAAGAAUAAGCUGUCAGAACUACGCAUGACCUGAUUCUCCUCUCUCGAGGGUGAGAUACAUAGGCUGCCUUACUCAGGGCUCGGUCCAACCAAAUAACAAUUUAGAAUUUCCAGUCAAAAGAAACUGGGGCAUGAGUUAAUCCUCAUUGUUUGAGUCGAUUUCAAAAGUUAUAAGUCCCACCUCACUACAAGUGUCGUUUUGGGCAUCAUGUCAUCCUUUCUUUCUAACCUUGUCCAAAAGUCAAGUUACAACCAAAGAAAGACCUUCAGAUCAAUCUUUGAGAAUGUUAAGGCUAAGCAUGCAAAGGAUAUGAUGAUGCAUUUGGGAAUUACUUGUCUUCCUCAGCAUAAGAAAUGAAGAGAGAAAUAAAAAGGAGAGAGUCUUAUUGGUGAAAAUCCUCACGGGCACCAUAAGGCGAUGCUAAGUUGAGAGAAAUAAAAAUGAGAGAGUCUUAUUGGUGAAAACCCUCAUGAACACCGUAAAAUGACUGUGAGUUAAUGGAAAUGAAGAUAAGAGAGUCUCAUUAGUGGAAAACCCUUACAGACACCAUAAGGUAAUGGUGAGCUGAGGAAAAGAAAAUGAGAGAAGCUUGUUGGCGAAAAUCCUUCAAGGCUCCACUAGCCGAAUGGGGUCUUAAAUGCAGUUGACCUAAGGAAGCAACUCAGUUUCAAGGCCAUUAACUCAACAACAAUAGGUAGAAAAUUUGGACGAAAAGAUCAAGCUGCUUAAUUCAAAAUGCAUGGUAUAAUCAUUAGUGUUGAGUGUCAUUUUUAGAUGAAUUUUUUGUUUCUUUGUUUCAAAAGGGAACAUUUAUUGUCUUUUCUUUCUUCUCUUUAUUUUUAUUUUAUCUUUCUUGAGUCAGUUAUCCAAACAAAAAUUUUAAUUCUUUUUUUCGUUUCUUGUCUUUGAGUCAAGUCCGUGUCAAAACAAGUGAGAAAAGAUUUAAAAAAUGGCUACCAGCUUUUUUAAUUGCACAAAGCAAGACAAAAGAUAGAACAUGAAAGAGACAUGAUUAUGAGCAAAAAAAUGGCAUGCAGAAAGUUUUGUCAAACAGAGAAGUCAGGAAACUCAUGGAAAUAUCAAGGUUCAAAGGAUCUAUUUGAGAAGCAUGGCAAAGUAGAGAUACUGUGUUUGUUUUAGUCACUCUUAAUAAUCUAAGCUCGGGUCAAUGAUUCAGCAAGUCAAUGAUAUAUGCUAAUGGUUAGAAGCAAGGUUAAAUGUGAGGAGGGCAAGAGUGAUCGUCGCGAAAGCUAAAACCACAAACCGGCUACCAUGUUUUAAACUCACAAGUUUUCUUUGAUGAAACAGGAAACAUAUUACCUUCAAAGCAGGGACUUCAGAGCAUAAACAUCAAUGGUUGCAAUGCUUCACUUUUACAAAUGCAAAAAACAAUAUUACUGCACAGGUUUGAUAUAAAAUCAUGGUAAAAAUUCAUCAUCCUAUAUCCCUCGAAGAAACACUUUCUUGUCUAGGAAUUUCAGUUUUCAUUUGCUAGGUGAUACACUUCUUAAAUUGAACCUUCACUCCUAGAAGACGUAUCUUUUAGUCGAGUCAUUCCCAUUGAUUCCUAUAAGACGUACCUUUUAGUCGAGUCAUAUCCCUUUGAUUCCUAUAAGAUGUACCUUUUAGUCGAGUUAUCCCAUUGAUUCCUAUAAGACGUACCUUUUAGUCGAAGUCAUUCCUAUUGAUUUCUAUAAGACGUACCUUUUAGUUGAGUCAUUCCCAUUGAUUCCUAUAAGACUUACCUUUUAGUCGAGUCAUCCCCUUUGAUUCCUAUAAGACGUACCUUUUAGUCGAGUCAUCCCCUUUGAUUCCUAUAAGAUGUACCUUUUAGUUGAGUCAUUCCCAUUGAUUCCUAUAAGACGUACCUUUUAGUCGAGUCAUCCCCUUUGAUUCCUAUAAGAUGUACCUUUUAGUUGAGUCAUUCCCAUUGAUUCCUAUAAGACGUACCUUUUAGUCGAAUCAUCUCUCUUUGAUUCCUAUAAGACGUACCUUUUAAUCGAGUUAUUCUCCUUAAUUCCUAUAAUAAUGUGACUUUCACAAAAGCCCUUUGAUGAUAAACUGGGGCAAAAUUUAAUUCUUAUGUUUGGAACUUCACUUUUCAAAAAAUGAAAUCCUUCUUUAUCAUAAUAUUUGUUCAGGACCCUUAUGAAAAAUGAAAUUUUACUUUAUGUUCAGGACCCUCCUGAAAAAUAGGAUUCCACUUUCUGUUUAGGACCUUCCUGAAAAAUGGGAAUUUACUUUCUGUUCAGGACCCUCAUGAAAAAUGGGAUUUUACUUUAUGUUCAGGACCCUCUUGAAAAAUGGGAUUUCACUUUAUGUUCAGGACCCUCCUGAAAAAUGAGAUUUCACUUUAUGUCCAGGACCUUCCUGAAAAAUGGGAUUUUACUUUCUGUUCAGGACCCUCCUGAAAAAUGGGAUUUUACUUUCAAUUCAGGACCCUCCUAAAAAAUGGGACUUUACUUUCUGUUCAGGACCCUCCUGAAAAAUGAUAUUUUACUUUCUGUUCUGGACCCUCUUGAAAAAUGGGAUUUUACUUUUUGGAAAAUGAAUUCUUUCUUUAUCAUAAAAUUUGUUUAGAUAUUUUCGUUCUAGUUUUGAUUUUGAUUUCAGAAGCCCGCCUGAAGAACCAGGGUGAUGAAAUUGCAAGUCAGGAGUCCGCCUGAAGAACAGGGUGAGGAAGAUGAAAGCCAAGCAACAAGGUAAAGAAAUUAAAAGUCGAAAAAUAGCAAGUCAGGAGCCCGCCCAAAGCAUAGGGUGAAUAAAUGAAAAGUCAAUCAACAAGGUGAAGAAGCUAAAAGUUAAACAACAAGGUGAAGAAAUUGAAAGUCAACAAAUGGAAAAAUAACAAGUCAGGAGCCCACCUGAAGAACAGGGUGAUGAAAUGGGAAAUUGAAGAAACUGCAAGUCAGGAACCCGCAUGAAGAAUAGGGUGAUGAAAUUGAAGUACAAAAAAUGGCAAGUCAGAAGCCCACCUGAAGAGCAAGGCGAAUAAAUGAAAGUCGAGCAAUGAAGUGAAGCAAUGGAAAACCAAGCAACAAGUUGAAGAAAUUGCAAGUCAGGGGCCCGCCUGAAAAAUAGUGUGAUGAAGUAGCGAGUCAAGCGUCAAGGAAAGCUGCAUAGAUAGGAAUUUUGUAAUUUCAUUUAUAUUUUAACUUGUAAUUUUCAUUUUAAGGUAAUGACAGAGCCGCGGACCGGAACCUCGAUGGAACCUCAUUCGACUCUCCAACUUGAUUUAGUCCAUCUCCGUCCAAUCCUUUGAGAUAUCGAUCACUUGAUUCCCUCAUAACUUGGGUGGGUAGAAUGUCCAUCAAGACUAGGUUGCCCUUCUUCCUUCUGUUUCCUUCCUCGAAUAAUGAUCAGGAAAAAAUUCUGUUUCGUUGUCUACUUAUUUGAAUGAAAACACUUGGUGUUUACAUUCAAAGGAGGCAUGAUGAAGACACGUAAUUUUAUCCCGUUAAUAAUAUUUCUUACUCCAAUAUCACAUAAUUUAACCCCUUUUUUAUAAUUUUUUCCCAAGAAAAUAAAUAACCACCUCAUCUUUUAAUUAUUUAUGUAUUUAUUUUUUUGUUUUGUUUUAUUCAAAUAACAAGUCAUAACAAACUUUGUCUCAUUCUAAUAUUCCAACAAUCCACCCAAUAAAAAAUGGACACCUAACCCCUAGUCCUCCCAUUAAAAAAAAAAUCAACACCACCACCCCUAACCUCACCUACCCUACCCUACCCAUCACGUGACCCCUCCCCCUACCUACUUUCUUUACACGUUUAUUCCAAUUCUAUAUAUACAAAGGAGCAAAGGAAAAGCAAAGAAUGGAAACGCGGAGCCCACAUAAUUAUUCCAUUAGUUUUCCUUCUUGGAUUGUCAAUACAUACACCUAUAUGCAUAUGAAAAAUGAACCUGGACAGAAGGACAAAAAACAAGGGGGGCCCAUUAGGAACUUUCCAGGAAAUACUCCAUUCACACAGUACACAGAUAUCAUAUGUAUACACCAUUGUUUCUUUUCCUUCGGGGGAGACCUGGAGACACCAUCCUCUUCACUCAAAAUAUCGGCACACACAUACGCCCAAUCGCACACACACACACGCAAUCCUCGCCCUUCACAGCUCACUCAAAAUCGCACACUAAUCCGCACAUACCCAAAAAAAUGAAGCCGAUUGAGAGAGAGGGUGACGAAUAGAGAGAAAUAUAGUUAUUUUGGUUUCGGGUUUGUUGCCGGAUUUCGACAUUUUCCGUUAGCUUAUUCCCUUCACAGCUCACCGGAGCUUAGAUUUGGACUGAUUUUGAGCUCUCAGUUAGACUUCGGAGAUGUUAGUUCUCGUUUGCUCGUCAUUCGUCUUCCGAUAUCGUGCAUUUGAAGGUUUUUCAUACCGGGCCGGUCUGUUUUUCUGUUGCUAUUUUGUUGUGGUUUCAUCGGUCUUCGCUACUGAUUUGAAGAUUAGAAUCUCGUUCAUCUCGAAUCGUUAAUCGCGAUCAGUUUUUUGGUCUUCAAUCUUCGAUACCGAAUCUGGGAUUAUCGCAUUUUGGAUUAUUUCUCGACUGAUUUGGAGAGUCGAGAUUUCGUUGGUAUUCUUCGAGGUUCUUGAAUGGGCUCUUAUUUCUCUUAUUAAAUCAAUCGAAAGCUCCCGAGGUCCAAUUCUAACUUUUCUCUUUUUGAUUUUCUCGUAAUUACGAAUGAUUUGUAUGCUUAAAUGUUUGAAUCCUUGUUUGGGUAUGUGUUCAAUAUUGAUUUCGGAUUUGAAGAAAUAACUUGAUUGUCAAAUUAGUUGUUUGGGGUCUAGAUUGAAAAUUAAUAAUCGAAUAAGUCGAAGGUUGUUUAUUUUGAUUCAUUAUUGAAUAUUGUUGAAUUGGAUAGCAUCAUGAUUAGGCCAUCUAAUGAAUAGGUUAAAGUAAGUUCGGGUAGGCAAAUAUUUAGGAAUAAGUGUUUGCUCGUUGAAUUAUUGAAUGCUUGAAAUGCGUGUUGAAUGGUUUGGUUUUAUUGCUUUUGGAUUGAAUGUAUCAUUUAGCCGGGGAAUGCCCCGAGACACAUUGUAUUUAUUCACCGGGGAAUGCCUCGACGUACUAUGUUGGCGGAAGACGUUCGUGAUGAAGGCCCGAGGCAUCGGGUAACUUGGGAGCGUAGUUAGGAUUAGUAUAGGUUAGAUAGGAUUUAUUUUUCGCAUUUUAUUUAUUUUGGGUAUGUAUAAUCGGACUGAACACUAUACUUUGAUUCAUUUUGUUUGUUUGCUUUACGUGCUUCCUUGUGAUUUGUACAUUCGUAGUGUCAAAAUUAGCCGAUACGCUCCACCAAGCGACCGUGGUCAAACCACGGGAUCGAGAGGUGUCUAACACCUUCCCCUCGGUCAACAAAAUUCCUUAGUCGGAAUCUCUGUUCGCGGAUCAGUUCUAUAGAGUCAAAAUCGUUUUGAAAAGGGAUAUCCAUGGGUGACUUGGCACACCCGAUUUAUGCCAAGUGACGACUUUGAGUUUAGAAUAUAAAAGGUCCUUUUCGAAAUAAAUUUUCAUCUUUUGUCACUUUGAUAAUAAAACUCUUUUGAACAUAAAAUGAAUCUUUUCCAGAGUUGAAAAAAAAAAGUGUGACAGACAUGUACAAGCAAGCUGCGGAUGAAUUAAUAUCAGGGGUAAACCCUAUCACACCCCUUUUUUCAACUCCCAAAAAAAAAUUCAUUUAAGGUUUGAAAGAGUUUUUAUUAUUAGGUGACAAAAGAUGAACAUUUGUUUCGAAAAUGGAUUAUUUACAUUUCUGUUCUGAGUCACCACUUGACAUAACCCGGUGUGCCAAGUCACCUUUGGAAAAUCUUUUUCAAAACGAUUUGACUCUUCAAACUGGUUUGCGAACAGAGAUUUCGGCUAAGAAAUUCUAUUGACCGAGGAAAAGGUGUUAGGCACCCCUCGAUCCCGUGGUUCGACCACGGUCGCUUGGUGGAGCAUAACGGCUAAUUUGACACUACAAAAUGUAUAAAACACACGAAAAAAGCAAAUAAACAAAUCAAACAAAAUUCAAAAUCAAAAUAAUAUCCAUUCCGAAUUAUACAAUCCCAAGGAUAGAAGAAUACAAAAAUAUAAAUCCUAUACUAGACUAAUCCUAAACUAUGCCUCGGGCCUUCAUCAAAACGUCUUCCGCCAACAUAAUACAUCGGGGCAUUCCCUGGUGAAUAAAUACAAUGUGUCUCGGGGCAUUUCCCGGCUCCAAAUGCGAGAAAGACAAACCAUUUCUCAAACAUUCAACGCAUUCAAUCAACACACCACUCCUAAAUUUUGCCUACCCGAACCUAAACAUUUUGCCUAUCCAAUGCGAACUAUCAUGAUACUAUAGAAUUCACAAACUUGAUUCCGAAUUAAGCAAAAUAACAACGAACCAACAUUAAACCAAAUUUACCCUUUUUAUCAAUCUCGCAAUUCCACCCUAAAUUCUCUUCUCAACACUAAAUUUCCACAAUUCACGAUUUCUAUUUCAACAAUCCACAAUCACUUUUCAAUGAAAAUUAAGCAACGAGUUAAUAUCAAAGUAGCAAUUCAUAACCAAUCAAGAUCAAACAACACACGAGAUUCCAUCCAAUGCACCAUAUUCCAUCAAUAAUGAAAUAAAAAGAGGAAAGGAGUAGAAAUGGACCUCAAUGAUGAUUUUAUUUCGAAUAUCAGUCAAUCGAGAAGACGACUCUGUGUGAUGAAGAACCUCGAGUCUGCCUCAAAAAAUACCACAACUCGACUACGAACCAACUCCAAUACGACAAUCUUCAAAACCCGAUCCCAAAACAAAACCCACGAAGGCCAGUGAGCCACUUAUCCACUGAGGUGACUUAGCCUAGUAGGGAGAGGGGUGACUUCUCAAUUACUCAGCCUGACAACUUAGCCACUGGUUUGUAUAUCAACAUGACUAGAGCUUCCCUCACUGUCAAUGUUCUGCACCAUAAUUGAUUCAUCUAGAAUCAUCUUUUCAAUUUCUCUUUUCAAAUCUCAACAAUCUUCAAUACUAUGACCCUGAGCAUCAUAAUGAUACGCACAUCGUACAUUAGGAUCAAAAUUUCUUGAACGCUAAUUAAGAGUGCACCCAAGGAGAGGAGUGAUCAUACCCUAUUGUACUAAUCUCUGAAAUAAACUUCCAUACGACUCUUCAAUUGGUAUGAAGCUAUCUCUCGACUUCUUCCUUAUUUCAUCAUUUGGCUUGGAUAAAUUAGGCUUAGGAGGGUUUUGGUAUGUUUACGGAGUUAGAGAAUGACUCUGAGGAGUUGGUGUGUUCCACUGUGGGUAAUAUGGGGGUUGAACAUGUGGUUAUGCGUUAUAUACUGGAUAUAGAGGUGGAGGAGUAGAGUAUAAUAGAUUUUGGGAAUGAUUAUGUGGAGUUUGGACAUGAACUUGGGUUUGAGCCUGAGAGUGACGACAAUGGGGUCUUCUUGACCGUGCCCGCUGUCCGACUACAAUAGAGGAUGGAACUUCCUUAUUCUUUGUCUCCCCAAUACUUCCUGAACCCUUUUGAAUUGCUUGAGUUGUCGCUUUCAAUGUUGCAAAACUCACAAUGCGACCCGUCUUAAUUCCCUCUUCUAUAAUCUCCCCCAUUUUAAGGACAUCAAUAAAUGACUUGCCCAAUGCAGGUAACAAGUGUUGAUAAUAUGUUCCAUUCUACGCUUGAAUAAACUCCUCUACUAUUUUUCUUUCUUUCAUUGGCGGUUUUACUCUAGCAGCUUGUUCACACCAUCUGAUCGCAUAUUUCCUGAAACUCUCAGUAUUCUUCUUUUUUAUACUAUUUAGGGAUUUUUCGUCAGGAAUCAACUCCACAUUGUAUUAAAAUUGUUGCACAAAUUCAUUAUCUAGGUCAUCCAAACUAAACCACUUGUCAAUGUCUUGGUCAACAAACCAUUCCAAAGCUAGUCCUGAAAGAUUCUCCCCGAAAUAAGCCAUGAGUAGUUCUUCCUUCCCCCAGCACCCCUUAGUUGGUAGCAAUAACGUAUCAAGUGUGCAAUAGGAUCACCAUGUCCAUCAUACUUCUCAAACUUCGGCAUGUUAAAGCCAAAAGGAAGAUGAACCCAAGAAAACAUGCACAGAUCAACAAACAUUCAACGCAUUUAAUCAACACACCACUCCUAAAUUUUGCCUACCCGAACCGAAACAUUUUGCCUAUCCAAUGCGACCUACCAUGAUACUAUAGAAUUCACAAACUUGAUUCCGAAUUAAGUAAAACAACAACAAACCAACAUUAAACCAUAUUUACCCUUUUUAUCAAUCUCGCAAUUCCACCCCAAAUUCUCUUCUCAACACUAAAUUUUCACAAUUCACAAUUUCUAUUUAAACAAUUCACAAUCACUUAUCAACGAAAAUUAAGAAACAAGUCAAUAUCAAAGUAGCAAUUCAUCACCAAUCAAGAUCAAACAACACACGAGAUUCCAUCCAAUGCACCAUAUUCCAUCAAUAAUGAAAUAAAAAGAGGAAAGAAGUAGAAAUGAACCUCAAUGAUGAUUUUAUUUCAAAUAUCAAUCAAUCGAGAAGACGACUCCGUGUGACGAAGAACCCCAAAUCAGCCUCGAAGAAUACCACAACUCGACUACGAACCAACUCCAACACGACAAUCUUCAAAACCCGAUCCCAAAAAAAAACCCACAAAGGCCAGUGAGCAAAUCUCAGCUUGGUAUCGAGAAAACUGUGACCUAAGACAGAGCACGAUGAACCCACCGAGAUAAACAAAACCCAAAUCCAAAUACAACACCAGCGUUAAAUUGUUUAGAAUCGAUUUAAAAAAGAAAUGUUGAUGGUGCUAUUACUGUUCACUUCUUUCCGAUGGUAUCGCCUGAAACAAAAAGAAACGACAAGGUAUGUUGGGUUUUCGGCACAGGGCAAGUUAACUCGAACGGGCCGGGAAAACUUGAGAAUCCCUUUCUCUCUGGUUUUCUCACUCUCUGACCAGUUCUCUCUGUCAAUCUCCUCGUUUUCUCAAUUUCUCUCUCAAUCGAUCUCUCCCACUCCUAUCUUUAUUCUCUCCGGUCACCUCACUCCUCGAUUUCCCUAUAUCAGUGUAUGUGUCCCCAGAUAUCGUGAGGUUGGUGAGUGUAUCCGUGAGCCAGAAGAAAUGAAAGAUAAUGUUGGUGUUUUCCUUUUUUCGUGAGUGGAAGAAUGAAGUGUCUUGUUGUGAUGGUAUAAGGUGGAGAAGAUGAUGUUUAUGGUGUCCCCUUAGUGGUGGGGCCCGUAUGUGUGUAUAUAUCCCUCAUGGUGUGAGAGAUUUUUCUUUUUCUCCAAGCUAACACCGUGUAAAAUAAUAUAAAAGGAGGAGGUAUGGUCACGUGGGAGAGGGUAGGGGUGGUGAUGAUAAGAUUUGUUAGGAUAAAGUUUUUUACGAUAAGGUUAGGGAUUUAAUUUGUUAGAGAUUUUGUUAAGGGUUGUUAUUUUUUGUAUUUUUGUGGGAUAUAAUCAUACGGAUGAGGGUAUAUAAUAACAAGAGGUAAAAAAUGGAUAAAUUGAGUUUUGGGAGGGACAAAAUUUGGCGUCUACAAAUCCCAAAUGAUCCAUGUUUGUUUCAUCAGCCAAAGCCAACUUAGUUAGAAGAAACCGUGAGGGUCAUCAUAUUUGCUUUAAUAGUUCAUUCGUAGAGGAUGAACAUCUAUCGUUGUAAAGAUAAUUCUAUUUGAUUUUCAUAGUUCAUUCGAUGGAGGAUGAACAUGUCUGUUGCCGUAAAGGCCAGCAUAUUUAUUUUCAUAGCUAGUUCAUCCGGUGUAGGAUGUGUGUCUGUCGCAGGAGUGAAAACUAUGGACUUUGGUUGAUUUGAUUUUCUAUAGCAAAAAUCUUAGUUUUGGCAGAUGUUUAUGAGUUUUCUCUAUGGUUAUGUUUGGUAUGGAUGAAAAUGUUUUCUAUUUUUUUUCAUGUUUUGUUUCAAAAUACUAAUUGUCUCUAUGAAUAUAGGUUCCUUGAAAUAUUUUUUUAAUUUGGGCAUAAAACAAGUUCGAUAAAUUACAUUUUAAGUUCAAUAUCUUCUCCCAUCCCGAACGACCCCAACCCUAUGACAGCCCGUACACUCAUCAAUGCCGGCCAAUGGUAAAGCCAUUAAAAGUAAUAUCUUGAGGCCCCAUAGUUUUAAGACCUAUUUUUUUAAAAUUAAUAAUAAAGUAAUUUUCAUGGUAAUAUUCCUUAAAACUAAAAAUUUUACGGUUUAAAAAGGAACAUUCUCUUUAUCAAAGAGGAAAAGAGAAUUUGUUUAGCCAAUCUGAUUACAUUUUUUAACAUUCUUUUCUGGUUCUCACAUAUUGCCACAGAUAUAUUGAAAUGAUAAAAUUUUAUUCUAUCAUCGAGUUAUAAAUUUCAAGAAUAAAAUUCUAUAAUUCAAACUCUACAACCUAAUAUUUUUUAUAAUUUUAUCUUGAAAUUAUGAUUAUUUUUAAAAUUUAAGACCUCUUUAUAAUGUUUGUAUCAAAGUGACUAAUAUUUCAAUCUUGUUGCAAAAUUCAUCUUUAAUUUGAGUUGGUAUGUUAUUAAACUAUGGCAUAGUGAAAUUUUUUUAAAAAAUUCAACAAGUUUAUUAAAGAUUUGAGAAAACACAACUAUAGAACUCAACUUUUGAUAUUUGCUUUUUCUAUUUGUUUUUUCAUAUUUUUAUUGGUUUGCAUGAAUAAGUCAUUCAUGUCUUUGUUGUUCCAUUAACUAGGAGAUAAUUCGUUAUUACUUGUUUCUUUAUGUCAAAGACCAGAAGAUGCUAGCAUAGUUUUUUCACUCUUUUCUUAUGAGGCAUGUACUACAACUUUAACCUCACAGGCCUGGGCUGGACUUGCCUCCCUUUCAUAAGGAGUCGUACGAGGCGAAAACUCUACAUACGAUUCUAAGGUUUAGCCUUUCUAGAAAUAAAAUGAUCAGAUUAUUAUGGAUACCUAUAGAGAUUAAUGUAUAAGAUCGAAAUCUACAAACUGAUGCAUUAGACUCACCUUUUACUUGAAUACAUACGGGGAAAAUAACAUUUCACAUGAAGAGAGACAAAUAAAAUUUCAUGAAUUUUGAUCUCCCAAUUUAUCUAGUACCCAUUCUAUGUUUUGUUUUUCAUGAAUACUUGACUUUUAGGUAAAAGUUCAUGCUUUAUUUUUUCUUUUUUUGCUUUUACUUUUUCAGUCACCAUACAUAACUAAAACUUUGGCUUAUUUUAAUAUGAUGAUUGAUAUUUGUUCUUUAUGAUAGAUGAAAUUUUAUAUUUUCAAAUUUUAGCUUUUCUGGAGUGAAUUUGAGUGUUAAAAUUUGAAGAAUAGAAUAAUUAUUUUUUGCCAAUCCAAAUUUUUAAAAGUAAUUUAGAUAGGGCCAUGGCCCAACAUUAUCAAAAUUGUCAAUCUCAGCAUUGUCCCGUUCGGGGAGCAACAGUAUUAGAACAGUGAUCCAUUUUAUUACAUAUAAAUUAGUAUGUGUUGUAUGUGUACAUUUUAUAACUGCUAGGCUACUUUAUCAGUCAUAUACAUGAUUGUCUUGUGUAUUUAUAUAUUCAGACCAGAUCAAUACAUAUGCGUCUUAUGCAUAUACCAAUAGAUUAUUUUAUUUAUCAGCUAUAUAAGUAGGAAAUUUAUGAAUGUUUGAAAUUGUUGUGCAUAUUUAAAUAUGAUGUGAAUUUAUUUUUUUCAAGAACUGCAUAUAAAUAAGCUAAUUUAAUUAUGUCGGUAUGUUAUUUCACAGCAUAUAUAUAUAUAUAUAUAUAUAUAUUGUUGAAAGACUAUUGUUUAUUUUAUUGCGUAUACAUAAUGGUCUUAUAUAUAUGUACAUUUCAGAAUAGGUAAAUUGAAUUUUUUUAAAUAUGAGACAUAAGUGUUUUACGUAUAUGUUUGUUGUAGAAUUGCUAGGCUUUAUUAUUCUAUUAUUACUACAUGAUAUGCUUUGUUAACCUGCUAUAUAUCUGCUUUAGAUUGAUUAAUUCUUGUGUGUAACAUGAUUAUAUAUUCAAAUUGAUAAGUUCUUUAAUGAGGACGGAUGAAGUGUCAAUCAUUCCAAUGUCAGAUAUGAAAGAUUAUGAUGUACCUAACUUUGUAGACGAGGAAGAAGUAUUACAACCUAAAUAUCGAAGACCACUUGAAAGGCUGAAGAAAGGGAGACAUAAAAAAUUAAGGGAAACAAUGUCAUCAAGCACAUAUAGUUGUGGAAAGUGUGGUUGUACGGGUCAUAACAGGCGAACUUAUAAUUUCUUCCUAAAAAAUAAUUGAAAUUUGUGCAGAUACAUAGAAUUGUUCACUUGCAUUACUUAUAAUUAGUUAUGUAUAUUUAAAUAUGGUGUGAAUUUAUUUUAGCGUAGUUUCUACAUUUACUAAAUCUUAUUUAGCGAUGUUUCAUGCAAUGACUAUAAUAAUAGUUUCUGAUGUUUUAUUAAAUUAACUUAUGAGAUGCAUUUUUUAUAGUUUUCCAUUGCUUAAACAAAUGAUUGAUUGUUAUCGCAUAUACAAUGCUCAACAAUCAUACACUAUAUUCUAUGCUAAUUAUGACAUAAUUAAGCUAAAUAACUUUAUUACAUAUUCAUUUCAAUAAUAAAUGUAUAAAUAAUUAUGUUAUUAUUAUUGUUUUAGGAUAACAAUAUAUAUAGUUGCAUGUCAUACUUAUACUUAACUAUGUUAUGGUAUGUGCUAAACUAAAACAAAUAAGAAAAAUGAAUUUUAAAAUAGACACACAAUUAUUUUUAUGUAUAUGAUGUGUACUAAAAAAUUAUACAAUUUGUAUGUCUUGCAUAUCAAAUUUGUAGAACUAAUACAGCCGUCAAAUUAAGUACAUAAUACAGCCAUAUACUAAGUUAUGUUUAAUCUACAUACAUACAUAAUUUAGUUAUGUAUAUGAUAUUGUCUAGGUUAAGCAUAUAUAUAACUUUUUGAUGUCUAAUAGUUCCUAGUCAAUACCGUAUACAUAACAUAGUUAUGUAUAUUGUGUGUAGAAUAUAUAACCAGACAAAUAUGUACAAAACAGAGUUAGAUGCGUUAUGAAUUUAUGAAUACACAUUUCAGACAAUACAUACGCAUAACAGCGCUAUGUAUAAUCCACCCAUGUAUGUAACUUAGUAUAUGCCAGGCACACCAAAGCAUAAUAUGCAUCAUUGAAUGUGAUAAUAAUUAAAAUAUAAAAUAAUAUAUUAUGAUCACUUUGUACAACACAAAAUACAGAGUCUUAAAAUUUUCAGUUUCAAAACACACCAUCACCAAUAUUUUACAAAAAAUAUUUGCACAGAAAAAUUUUUCUUGAACAAAGGAUCUUUAAAUCUAUUCUAUGCUAACUAUUGUUGGUUCAUCAAAUGGUGGAUCGGAAUUUGAUUUUGAUCUUGGAGGAUCUUCGUUAUCACUAACAUCGCCUUUCUUUGUCUUGACCACUCCGUAAUUAUAUAGGAGGAAAGCGUAUCUAUUGGUGGGCUAGCAGCUUUCAACGGUCAAAUGGACUCUUGGACCAAUAGCUAUAAUGUCGUUUGAGGUCCAAUGAACAUUUGACCAAAUUUCAAUUAUUAAAAAAAAAAAAAAAAUUUAGCCAAAUGGUCGUUGGACUCCAAACAACAGUAUAGCCAUUGGGCCAAUAGAUAAAUACCGUAAAAUUGACCAAGAUAUUUCUCGUUGACCAAGAUAUUUCUCUUUGGAGAAAGCCUGGCGAGGAUAGCUUCUGAAUGGUUCAUUGACUAAGAUAUUUCUCGUUGGCAUGUUUGGGAUGACAUGGCUCGAGAUUUUAUUCAGCAAUUUCAAUAUAAUAUUGAGAUAGUACCAGAUCGCACCACACUUGCCAAUAUGGGAAAAAAGAAAAUUGAAAAUUUCUGAGAAUAUGUUGUCAGGUGGAGAGAGCAGGCUGCAAGAGUCUGACCGCCGAUAAAGAAGUUUGAAAUUAUUGAUAUCUUUUUACAAGAACAAGAACCUGAUUAUUUUUAGCAUUUGCUAUCAACUAUUGGGAGCACAUUUGCUGAGGCCAUUAAAGUUGGAGAGAUGGUAGAGAGCGUAAUUAAGUUCAGAAAGAUUAUCAGCUAGACCGCUUUGAAAGAAACAACACAGACAAUUCAAAGUAGUUCAGGAAGCUUUGGUGGAAAAAAAAGGAUGUAGAAACUAUUAUGCCAGGUCCACGACAAAAGUGGAGAGGUGUACGUCACUAUUGUGCACUAUCUCAAUCCCAUAUUUAUGUCCAAGACCCAUAUAAUCAUCUAUGACACUAUGUUUCUCCACAAAAUCUAUUAUACUCCACUCCAUCUCCUCAAUAUUCUAUUCAUAAUGCACAACUAUAUGUUCGGGCCCCUUCUUAUCCGCAAUGGCGUGCACCAACCCCUCAGAAUCAUCUUUUAAUUCCACAAACAUACCCACGCCCUUCCAGAAUCGAUUUUUGCUCUAAUCUAAAUAAUGAAAAGAGGCAGAAGCUAAGGGAUAGUUUCACACCAAUUGGAGAAUCAUAUACCAGUUUAUUCCACAAAUUGAGAAAAAGGGACAUGAUCACUCCUCUUCUUGGGUAUACCCCUGACCCACAAUCAAGAAACUUUGACCCUAAUGUACGAUGUGUAUAUCAUUCUAAUGUUCAGGGUCAUAAUACUGAAGAUUGUCGUGCCUUGAAAAGAGAAAUUGAAAGAAUGAUUCAAGAUAAAUUGAUUAUAGUGCAGGACAUUGACAGUGGUGAAGGAUCUAGUUAUGCUGAUGUGCGAACUGACUAACAUGUCAAGCUCAACAAUUGAGAAGGCACUCCUUCCCUUACUAGAAAGGAUUUGUAGAAGUUUAUUUAGUUUUUCUUUCUGUUAUUCGAAUUAUUUCAAGAUUGUAUUUCGGAGUCUAUCUUGUCUUAUUCAUUUGCCAUUUAUGUUGAAACUCAAUCAUCUUUUCUUUUAACAAAAAGCAAUGUCCGUUUUAUUUAUUUAUUAUAUUUUAUUUUUACUUUAUUUUAAUUGUUUGUCUUUCUUUUCUUUACAUAGUUCUUUUAUGUGGAUUAUAGUGAUAUGAUAUGCAUGCUGAAUUUUUACCGGAUCUUAAAAUCUAAUCUAAUCCUGAAACACUUGACUAAGAAGAUAGAGUUGAAAAGGAAAAUCAUGUAAGAAAAUAAGUAAAGUGUUGAGAUGUUUGUUGAUUGAGUUAAAGCCUCACUUGAAAGUAUUGAAGCAAUCGCUUUGUGAAUAAAAAAUUACUUGGUCAUCAACGAGAAGGUCAAUCUCAAGCACUUUAAAUGAAAGCGAUCAGAGGAUAUAUAGUCUCCACUGUCAGGAGAAGUAAAAGAAAGUUAGCUUUAAAAAUGCAUGAGCCCUCUUAUGGGAGAAAUAUAGAAGAUAAUUUGACCUUUAUGUUUGACAAAUGCAUAAGAAAUAACGACACAAGUGCUUAGUCACGGUCAAUGUUGAAAAGAUGUCUAUGAACUUCAUGUUCCACUCCAGAUUGCAUGUUAUGUAUUUGCAUUUUUAAGGAUUGAAGUGAUGAAGGCAUUUUGUUCUACUAUCCAAAAAAUAUAUCAACCUUUGCUUACCCCUUUUGAGCUUUUAUCUUUCUUCGUACCCCUCAUUUGGAAUCAAAUUAAAGUCAAGAAAAAAGAGUUGAAAAAAAAAAUCAAUCAAAAAUCCAAAAUCUAGAAAAAUAAAUUUUUAUGAACUACGUUUGACCUGAUUCUUGCUAUGACAAGAUAUGUAGGCAGCCGUACUCUGGGGUUCAAUCCAACCAAAAUAAAAUUCAAGUUACCCAAAAUGAAAUAAAACAGGGGCAAAAGUUUAUUUUCUUAAAAGAAUUGAUUCCAAAAGUUGUAUGCUUCACCUAGUGUUAUGUAAAUUUUGAGCCCCAUGCCGCCCUUUCUUUCUAACCCUUUCCAAAAACCAAGUUACAACCAAAGAAAGACCUUAAAAUCAAUCUUUGAGAAUGUCAAGGCUUAACAUCUUAUGGGUGAGUGAUAUUUCAUAUUUUGGGUGUUAUUUUCUUAAUAAAAAUGAAAGAGUCUUAUUGGUGAAAACCCUUUUGGGGAACCAUAAGGUGAUGGUGAGUUGAGAAAGAAAUAAAAUUGAGUUAGGAUUGUUGGUAAAAACCCAUUGAGGUACCACAAGCCGAUGGAGUAUUCUAAGAGCGAAUUAAUUCAGCAGUGGCUCAGUUUCAAACUCAAUAAGUGGGAAAAAGUUGACAAUGAUUAGUGUGGAAAGAUCCAAUUGUUUAAUUCAAAAAUGCAUAUCAUAAUCACUAGAAUCAGCUAUCAUACUCAGAUAAGUUUUCCUUUAUGUUGAUUUGAAAAAGAGAUGCACUUUGUCUUUCCCUUUUCCCUUUUUCUUUUUCUUUUUAUUAUUUUUGUUUUUGAAUUUUUGUCGUCAUAUGAAAAAUCAUUGUCAUCUUUCGCGUAUUUUUUAGUCGAAUUCGCGUCAAGUCAAGUAGGAAAGAGCUUCAAAACUUGCUAUCAACUCCCUCAAUUGCACAAAGCAUGACAAAGGGAUGAUGUACCAAGUUAACAUGCUUCAUAAUAAAGUAAGAUAUUCAAGAAUGCUUGUCACCUGAUAGUUUUUGGAUUCAUAGAAGUGAAAGAUAUGUUUGAAGUUAAACCCAAGAGCAUCAUGCAAGAGAAAUAUGAUUUGAGCCAAAAAGUUCCAGUAGAAAGAAUUUGGGGGUAAAAAAUGCAAGUCAACGAUACUUAUCAAUGAUUGAAAUGGAGCUGAGUAUGACAAAUGCAAGAGUGGGUGCCUUAGUAGCCAAAUGACACAAAUCAACCACCACGUUUUACAAUUAUAAUUGGUAUUUUUUUGAAAUAGAGAGAAAUUUGACCUUAAUUCAAAUGCUUUAAAGUUUAGAUAUCAACAAGGUGAAACACUUCCUUGUUUGGGUAAGUCAUUUUUCAUUUGUUAGGUGAUGCACUUCCUAACUUGAACCACCACUUAUAGAGGACGCACUUUCCAGUCUAUUCAUUUCAUUUAAUCCUUAGGAGAUGCACUUCCUAGUUUGGAUAAUUCAAGUUUCAUUCGUUAGGUGACGCACUUCCUAAUUUGAACCAUCACUCCUAGAAGACGCACUUUCUAGUUAAGUCAUUUCAUUAAACCCCUAGGAGACGCACUUCCUAGUCUAGAUAAUUCAAGUUUCAUUUGUUAGGUGAUGCACUUCCUAACUUGAACCAUCACUCCUAGAAGACGCCUUUUCUACUUGAGUCAUUUCAUUCAACCCCUAGGAGACGCACUUCCUAGUCUGGAUAAUUCAAGUUUCAUUUGUUAGGUGAUUUCCUAACUUGAACCAUUACUCUUAGAAGACAAACUUUCUAGUUGAAUCAUUUUAUUUAACCCCUAGGAGAUGCGCUUCCUAGUCUGAAUAAGUCAGUUUUCAUUUGUUAGGUAAAGCACUUCCUAACUUGAAUAUUCACUCCUAGAAGACACACUUUCUAGUCGAAUCAUUUCAUUUAACCCCUAGGAGACGUACUUCCUAGUCUGAAUAAGUCAGUUUUCAUUUGUUAGGUAAAGCACUUCCUAACCUUAAUCUAAAAGCUAAUUCUGUAAAGGUCAAAAUCCACUCUAAUCCUAACCAUAGUCUUCACUCAUGUGGAUGCGUUCAACCUUUUGCCAUUGCAAGCCUAAGUCAAUCCUUCCAUUCACCCAUAGAUCCAGCUAAGUCAGAGCAGUUCUCGAUUUUGAUUGAAUUAGGAAGGAUCAAUAUUUCUAGGAGAGAUUGUAUUGCCUCAACGCUUUCAAAAUAUCACAAGAGAUUUAUGAAUAUUGUGACCAAUCACAAUAAUAACCUCUCUAGUCUAUCUGUUGAACUCCUUGAAAAUAUUUAUAGCCAUAUUAAGUUGUGUAUUAAAUGCAAAACUCUCCUAAGAGCAUCAAUUAUGACAUUUCUCUCGGAAGGUACUUUCAUGUUUUCUUUUCGUACUUUACUUUAGUAUGUUUCUCUUUAUUGUCCCUUAUUCUAAGAGUUACUCCUAUAAAGCGCAGAAUAUACUCUAAUUCAAAGCUUAGUCCUCGCUCAUGCAGAUGUGCUAGACCUUCCGCAAUUACAAGCCUACCCGAUCCUUCCAUUCACUCAUACGAUCCAGCUAAGUCAAAGCAGUUCUCAAUUCUAAUUGAAUUAGGAAGGAUCAAUAUUGCCAGGAGAGAUUAUGCUAUCUCCGAUGGUUCACCAUGUGUAGAGAAAGGAAGAAGAAGCUAAAGGUGUGACUUAAGUGAAGUUAUACAAAGAAGAAAAACAAGUUGAUUCCUUUUCUUUAUGUCAAACAGGUGUAUAGCCCUGCCAUAUGUAUAUAUUCUAGAAUAAGUAUAGAAGGGGUAUUUUAGUAGAAUACCAUGUAUUUCCUGAGAGGAUAAAAAUCCUUUUGUGUUGUCCCGGUACCCAAUUCAAAAGCAUUGUCUGAUCUUAUGAUUUUUACUCGGGUGGAAAAUUUUCUUUCCACAAGUGAGAGAAAGGAUUUUAAAAUAGAAAAUGCACUGGAUUUGAUGCUAAGAAGGAAAGUCCAAGUGCUUCUUGAGAAAUCAUCUACGAUAGUGACGAAGUACUUCUCACCUUUGUAUGUAGGUGUUUUUCAAGUUCCCCUCGUAUUAAUAUGUAUUAAUUCAAAACAGUGGCCAGAAGUAAUGCAUCUAAUAGGAAAAGAGACUUUAGUUUGUCUUGCCAAAGGACAAAUGGUACAAGGAAUUUCUUUGUUGUUUGUAAUGUUAAUUAGUAGUCCUUUAAUGUGUUUCAUAGCAUUGAAAGGUAAGUGUCCGGCCCAAUCAACCAUGCCAUAAAUUUUCUAAAAUUAUAACUUUGGAAACUGAAAUUUUCUCAUUAUCUUUGAAAUUUGCAGGACAAACAAGACUCUGAAUACUACAGCAUGAAGCUCUUGGAAAAAAUGAAAUAGGAAAAGAACUAGACUCUAUAGAACUUGACUUAAGCAAACCAUCAGAAAGAGACGUUGAAGUAAUGGAGUUGACAUGAUUAUCUUACAGUGAAUGUGAAGCUCCUUGAAGCACAUAUAAACCAGUAAAGGCAUCACCAAAAGCUACAUUCAUCAGAGACGAGUCCUGUAGACUGCAACUAGUUUUGGUAAAUGUCAGAUUACAAUCAAAUUGCUCACAUAUUCUACUGACUGAGAGUAAAUUAUGUGUGAGUGCAAGAACAAGAAGGACAUCAUGAAGAAUAAUAUAAGGUGUUAAUUUCAUCUUUCCUACACAUGUAACAAGAAAUUUAUGAGAGUUAGGUAAAUGAACCAUUAUUGGUGAUCUAAGAACAACAACAUCAUGUAGUAAGGAUUUAUCAAAAAGACAUAUGUUGUGUUGCUCCUGAAUUGAUGAUCCAAGAUUUAUUAGGAGACUUAGAACAGCAAGGGGAAAUCAUUUUACAAGCAGUCUGCAUACCAACCAUGUUAUCACUUGCAUUGAUUUCAGAAUUUAAGGUACUGGAACUACCUCCCUGCAUGGACUGAAACAUCUGAAUGAUCUGAUCACAUUUCUCCUUCGUGAAACUUUGAUUUGCAGCUGAGUUUGAUAAUGUAUUUUCCUCUUUUCCUAUGUUGAUGAAAUCAUGUGCCUCUAGUAUAUUUACCUGUUGAAUACUAGAAAUUCCUUUUCCUUGUUUGUUAAUUUUCUAAUGUUGUGGAAAUUUGACCAACUUGUAACAUUGUUCCUUCUCAUGUCCUGUUUUCUUGCAGUACUUGCAAUACAUAUCACUUUUCUUUGCUUAAUAUUGGUUUGUUCCCUUAUUUUGUAUGGGUUUCUCUGAGAGUUGUAAGAGUGUUGAGUGUUCCAUCUCUAUCCAGCCAUAAAAGCAGAAGAUUCAGUAGUUACCUAAUGGUUAGAAAUUCAGACUAAAGAAAAUAUAAAAUAAAUUGUAUAUGCAUGGUAUUAUAUUAAAAUACUCCUUCUAUACUUAUUCUAGAAUAUAUACACCUGGCAGGACUAUACACGUGUUCGACAUAAAGAAAAGGAAUCAACUUGUUUUUCUUGUAUAACUUCACUUAAGUCACACCUUUAGCUUCUUCUUCCUUUCUCUGCACAUGGUGAACCACUGGAGACUCUGCCGGAGAUAAUUUAACGGAAACAACUAUCUGUUGAACUCCUUGAAAAUAUUUGUAGCCAUAUUAAGUGCACAACUCUAUUAAGUGCAUCAAUUAUGACAUUUCUCUUUAUUGUUCUUUUCGUACUUUAUUUCAGUACGUUUCUCUUUGUUGUUCCUUAUUCUUAGAUUUACUCCUGUAAAGGGCAGAAUCUACUCUAAUUCAAAGCUUAGUCCUCACUCAUGCAGAUGCACUAGACCUUCCGCCAUUGCGUGCCCAAUCUGAUCCUUCCAUUCACUCAUACGACCUAGCUAAGUUAGGUUAGCUCUUGAUUCUGAUUGAAUUUGGGAGGAUCAAUAUAGUUAGGAGAGAUUGUUCUGCCUCAACACUUUCUAGAUAUCAUAAGAGAUAUAUGAAUCGUGUGUGACCAAUCACAAUAGGGACCUCUCUAUUCUAUUUGUUGAACUCCUUGAAAAUAUUUAUCAAGUCCACAAAUCUUCUUCUAAUAAAUAGAAUCUUCAAUUAUGUUUUUCGGGCUCCUGCAAACUAUGUCAUUAGCUUAACUAUCAGCUCUUGUUACAUGUUAAUUAAUGAUCUUCUUAGUAAUAAGAACAACUUCAUUUGAAUUUGAGAAUCAAGUUAUCACUACAACAUAAGACAUGUAUAGCUACAAAGUACUUCAUAGCUAAAUAUCAAAAUUUUCGGGGCUAAACACUUUAGCUACAAUAUUUUUCCGUAGCAUUCGUAGGAAGAAGCCGCAUAACUAAAGGUUAGCUACAGACUUUACAUGGUCAGUGGCUACCAACUAAUAAUUAUAGCCACGAAUUUUAUAUGUUAUAGCAGUACAAUAAAAUGUUCUUGCCACGAAAAAUACACUUCUAGCAAGUGAUUUUAUUCUUUUGCCAUGACGAAUAAUAUUAGUAGCAACAUUCAUGUUAUAGCCACAAGAUAUUAUAUUAUAGCAAAAAUUAAUUUAUUUGCCACACAAAUUUAAAUUUUAUAGCUAUUUUUAUAGCUUAGUCUCGUGGCAAUAAAACUCAUACUUAGUUAUGAAUAGAAAAAAUCAUAGCCAUAAAUUAAAGUACUUACCACAAACAUAUUUAUAUUGUAGCUAAGAAUUCAUAUUUUUAGCUAUGAAAUAUAUAAAAUGCAGCAUAUUUUUUUUAUUUGCUACAAGAACAAAAAAACCAUAGCCAUGUUUUUUAUACGUAGCAAUUAUAGAAUUUAUUUAACUACAAAUUUAAAAGUACAUAGCUAAAAUCGUAUACCUUUUGUCAUGAAAAAUAAAACAGUAGCAAAACAUUUUCUUUAUUUGCUAUAAAAACGAACAAGUGUAGCUAUACAUUUAGCAAUUGUAUUUAUAUUCAGCUAUGAAUUUCAAAUAAACUAUAGCUACUAAUUGAAAUUAUUUCACAAAUAUUAUUUGCCACGGUAAUUCAUAAAACAUAAUCUGACAUUAAUUUAUAAAUAAUUAUAAUAGAAUAGAUUCUUCAAUUAUAGAAUAAAUUUAAAAGAAAAAAAUUAAAAAUGCCUAAUAGAUUGUCAAUGAGAUUGUUCCAAAAUAAUAAAACAUCUUGCAAGAAAAUAUAAUCAUAGGCCUUCAUUGAUUUGAUAUGCUAUCACUCCACACCAUGCAAUGACUCUUGACUUCGAGUUGCAAACAUCCUUUAAAAUCUUUCUUCCCAUCGUUUAUCUAAUUCUGCGAUCUUAUCCUCCAUUUCGUUCUUCAUUUCUUCUGAUUCUUCUUUAGCUUCUCGUUUGACUUUUUUCACACGCUCAUUUGAUUCCUUUCUAAUUGAUUCUACUUAUUUUAUGAGUUGAACCUUUGUCGGUCUUCCACCAAAGUAUUCACUGAUACUUUUUCCUGGUCCAUACGCACGAAGAUAUCCAUUUUUUUCAAUCCCAAGCACCUUUUCAAAAAUAUCAUCAUCAUUAAAGAAAAUUUCUCCUUCUUUUUGCUCUUUUUGUGUUGUUCUAAUUGAUCCUACAAUUAAAAAAAUAUUAAUUAAAUAAUUAUAUAAAUAUAUAUUCUAAAAGAAGAUGAAAUGAAAAGCAAAACUAAAACUUACAAUUACAUCUUGUUGAAAAGUAUCAAUUUAUUUUUCAUUUUUUCUCUUGCGCGAUUCAAUAAAGACUUCAACACGAGAAGGAGCUUUUCCAUCUUUCUUCUAUAAAAAUAAAAUAUAUUAUUGUUAAUUAGACAAGAUAUAUGAAUUAAGUAUUGUAAAUUCAUUCUACAUAUCAUUAUUCUAUAAUACCAUUUCAUGUCUAAGUCUUGAAUAAAUUUUAGUCCCACGGUAAGGAGGCAAGGAACGUCUCAGUCGAUUUGUCUUAUUCUGCAUACUUUUUUUCUGAAUAAAAUUGAAAGUAAAAAAAUAAACAACUUUUGUUGCUAAUAUAAAUAAUAAUAAAUAAAUUUAAAUACCUAAAAGUUCGCAUCACUCCAAAGAUUGAUCAAAUAUUUCCAGUCGUCUGAGACGACAAGUUUAGGCUUAUUGCGUAAGCGAAGUUGGUAAGUUAUUUUUGUAUCAAAAUACUUUUGUUUCAGCUUAUGUCUAUAAUCUCUAUAUAGAUCAUUCAUAUGACCCAAAAUUGCACCUUUUCUUUCCUUAGACACAUCAAAGUUAAACUUCUCCUACAAGAAAAAUGCAACAUACCGCUAUAAUUUAUAAUCAUAUUUCUUGAUAAUUUUGAGUUCACAAAAAAUAAAAGACAAUAAUAUUUUUAGUAUAUUCCAGCAAAAGAGGGUCUAAAAAGCUAAGAAUACACAAUUCAUAUCACUAUCUCAAAAUAAAAUAGGAUAGACAUAGUCAUGCACUAACCAGACUAGAUGUCCUAAGAGUAAAACUCGAUAACACAAGAUUGUCCAUGCACUAAUAACUCAAGGAUAAAAAAAUAGUAAAAGAUGUCAAUGUUUGUAUAGUUCACACCACUUUUGAUGUUAGGUGUUAUAUAUAAUACAAAAGUAACUAGUUAUAUAUAUAUAUAUAUAUAAUACAAAAAGUAACUAGUACAUAAAAAGGAUCACAACAACACAAAAAUAGGAUCACAACAACUUUCAAUUGGAUAGUCAAUGUCGACAGUUAAUUAGGGGUGGAGGGGGUUGAUUAGAUGCAUUUUUAAUCGUCCAAGUUGUUAAAAAUUUCUUUUUCUUUUUCAGUUCUUCUUAAACUUAUGGUAUACAUUAAGUUUACACAAUCAAGUAAAAUAGAUACACCUAAACACUCAAAAAAAAGUGUCAUUAGCAACCUGCUGGAAGUAAAACAAAUCUGCAAUAACACCUUAAAAUAUCUUGAUAGUGAAUACUUCAACCUAAGGAUAGAAACAUGCAAAAUAGGAUAGACAUAGGCAGGCACUAAUCAAAAUAAAGGUCCUAAAAGUAAAACUUGAUAACACAAAAUUGUCUAUGCAAUAACUCAAGGAUAAAAGAGUAGUAAAGAAUGUCGACAUUUGUAUACUUCAUAUGUUGUACUCUUCUUUUUUUUAAUACCUAUAAUACUCACCACCAUAUUUCAUAGGAUAUUAGUUUCUAGCUCAAAGGCUAUAUCAUCAACUGAUAAAUCAACAUGGUGAUGUAAAAAUUCUUAAUAAAACUGCUAAAACCACAAAGAAAUUAAGUUUUAACCAAUUCCUCCUCCUCAGAAAAUGACACCAAAAGUCGUAACAAAAACUUUAAGAGAGACAUACAAAAACAAACCCAAAGCUUUCAUCAAGCACAACAUGGAAAAUCAAAAUCAAACAAAUCAGAAAAUUUUAUACCAAAAUCACUCAAACUAACUCUAAAAAAAUUAAAGAAUUAAAAUAUUUUGUCAGUUAGCCAUUUAUCUUACCAGAAUGAUAUCCCACAUAUGAUCAAUCUUAUCUUGCUCAAUUUCCUUCCAACAAUUCACUUUCAACGGGCAACAAGAACGACUUCUCACUGUUUGACCAAAAAACCAAAUAAAUUGGGUUGCAUUAUCACCAAUUGCCUGAUGAUCUUCAUCAAAUUGUACACUCACUUUUUCUCCCUCUUGUAAGUUAAUUAUUUUCAAGUAUCGUGUUGGCCCUCUAGUUUUUCUUUUCACAAUGUUUGAGCCUACAUUUAUAAAUUAAGUAAAUAAUCGAAGUAAAAACAUCAACACAAAAAAUAAAAAUCAAUCAAGAACAAAAAGAAUACUUACAAAAUUUGUUGGCUCAUUUUCUUCAGCUGCUUCAUUCACUUCUUCAGACACAUUAUCCCUAUAAUUAUUUUCUUCGAGAGAAGUAGUUCUGAAAAUAUCAUAAUUUUUUGAUAAUGUAUAAAUCUCUAUAGGCUUUUCCUUAUGCAUCUUAUAACUAGAAAGCAUGUCCUUAACGUCUGAAUCGUCACAACAUUCUACCAGCCCAUCAUAAUCAUUCAUAAUUUUAUCACCUCUCAAAUAAAAGAACUUAUCUUUAUCUAAAACAGUACACUUACAGUGCUUUUUCAAAUCAUCCAACAGAUCAAAAUAACUCAUAAAAUCAAUGUCCAGAGUUGUAUUCAUCAAAUGCCCAUUCACAUAUUCUUUAGAGGGUCGAAAUUUAAAGUAGCCACCAUAAUGAUAGAUAAUUGUUGUAGACACCUAAUUUUGUCCCUCCCCGAUAUCAUUUUUAUCCAUUUUACCUUAUGCUACCAUGUACCCUCUUUCAUUUUAUUAUACCCCCACAAAAUAUAAAAAUAAUAAUAACAAACCUCUAACCAACUUUAAACCUCAUCCUAAUAACCUACCUAUCCCACCCCCCACAUUUUAUUCCUUUUCCAUAAUAAAAUGGGGCCCACAGGGAAUAUUAGAAAACUUUCAUUCUCCAUAUGGGGAUAUAGACAACAUUCUCUCCAUUGAUAUUAAAAAAAAGCAGCUGGAACCCACCUAACCACCGACAUUCACCCAGACCCACCGGAGAAGAAACAGAAAUGUGAAAGUAGAGGGAAAUCAGCUAGAAAAGUGGUUUUUCUGGUGAGUAUUCAUUAGAAAACGCCACUGCCGUCCCUUCUUCUUUAUUCUUUUGUCACCAUCGGAGCUCGAAGGAGCUUAUCGGAGCUCCGGUAGAAAUCGUGGAUUGUGGAAUGUUUAGAAUAUGUGUUGAAUGGUUUUGUUUACUGCAUUUGGAUCAAUUGUAUUCAUUUAGUUGGGGAAUGCCCCGGGGCUAUUUGUAUUUAUUCACCGGAGAAUGCCCCGACGUAUUAUGUUGGUGAAGGAUGAUCGUGAUGAAGGCCCGAGGCAUUAGGUAGAGCAUAGUUUAGGACUAGCGUAGGUUUAUUUCAGUAUUUUCUAUUUUGGUUUGUAAUAAAUUGGACUGAACAUUAUUAUUAUUUUGGUUUUGGAUUGUUGUUUGAUGCGUUUGAUGUUUUUUUAUGUGUUCUGUGUGGUUUAUACAUUCUUAGUAUCAAAAUUAGCCGAUACACUCCAUCAAGCGACCGUGGUCAAACCACGGGACUGAGGGGUGCCUAACACCUUCCCCUCGGUCAACAGAAUUCCUUAGUCGGAAUCUCUGUUCGCAAACCAGUUUUAAAGAGUCGAAUCAUUUUGAAAAGGAUCUUUCAAAAGUGACUUGGCACACCGGAUUAUGUCAAGUGGCGACUCUGAAUAAAAAAUGUAAAUAGUCCUUUUUGAAACAAUUUUUCAUAUUUUGUCACUUUGAUAAUAAAACCCUUCUAACUUAAAAUCCGAAUCUUUUUGGGAGUUGAAGAAAAGGGUGUGACAUCUCUGGCGACUCUGCUGGGAAAAUUUUUAGAAUUCAAGCUUAUUUUUGGAGUCGUAUGAGCUUUGUUUGGCAUAAUGGAUAUAUAAACAUUGUUUGUGAUUAUUGUUUGUGUUAUUGUUGUCACUGUUGUGUGUGUCCGUGCUUUUUGUUUACAGUUUUUCUUUACGUGUUACCGUUUUAUACCUGGUAUCAUGUGCAUAACCCGAGUCAUUCUUUCUGCAACAAGUUCUGUAGUACACACUGUAUACACGACCUAUAGUUGAGACACCCUUAUUUUAGGAGGGGGAGUCGUCGGCUGGUAUGGAGUAGGUGGACAUCCAAAGCAGCCACUAUCGACCAUACGCUCCCUCGAACAGCCUUGUUAGUGAACCCCAGCGUAGGUCAGCCUUUAGGUUAUGCUUAUCUGCAUCAUAUUGAGACCUAGCAGGACCCACUUGGUCCUUUGAAGGAAACUCACCUCUAAAGCAUCCCUAUGAGCUAAAUGUUGCAUCUCUAAGGGUAACAUGGUCAUUUGUCUGAUGUAGGGGAAAGCAUGUGUUAGAAGUAAAGUGUGUGGGCAUGAAAAAUCAAAAAAAGGGAAAAACGAGAAAAGUCGAAUCGAAAAAGAGCUUCAUCGUUUUUUUUAGAGUUUUUUUUUUUUUGGCUUUUGUUCUUCUGAAUCCAAAAAUUCAAAAGGAUUUUUACCUUUUAUGCUCAUUUGUCAAAAUCAAAAACAUCAAAAAGAUUUUUUUUUUUUGUUUUCUUUAGCAAGUAUUUACAAUUCGAAAACUUCAAAAAAAAAGAUUUUUCAUUCACAGAGUUUUUAGAUAAGAAAAUUGCAAAAAUUGUAGGGGUUUUGUACAUUUCAUGAAAAUAUCAAAAAGAUUUUUCUUUCAUAGUUGUUGGUGUCAGUUUUAUGUGGAGUGUCAAAAUGAAAACCACAAAAAAGAUUUUUAUCUUCGUAGUCUCGUCUCUCAAGUCAGGGUUCAGUCGUUUAUUUAAUCCUUAAUUAUCCUAUCUGGACGAACUAUGCACCCCUGAUUCUCCUCUCUCGGGACUGAGAUACGUAGGCAGCCUAUUGUUGGUUCGGGGAUCUUAUUUGAAAAAAAUUCAAAAAAUAUUUUUCUUCACUCUUUAUUUAGAGUAGGUGUCUAUACAUCAAUAAAAGAAAACUACAAAAAAGAUUUUCCCUUAAUAGAUUUAAGUUUCAUUUUCGUAUGAAAUGCAAAAUUGAAAACCCAAAAAAGAGUUUCUUUGGUAAUCAUACGUUUCAUUUUGUAUAGGUUAUUAAAUCUGAAAAAUUCAAAAAAUAUUUUCGCUUAUUCUUUUGACAAUUUGUCAUUUUUCUUUUCUUCUUAAAAUUUUAAGAAAAAAAAGAAAAAGAAAAAGAAAAAGAGUUUAUUUGGCCAUUUUGGCAAGACUUCAUGAACUAUGCAUAUCUGAUUCUCCUCUCUCGGGGGUGAGAUACGUAGGCGCCCUUCUUGGGUUCGGUGACCUUUUCAAAAAGAAAAAAAAAGAUUUUGACAAAGUGUUGAACUCUAACACAUUUGUUACCUCUUGUUCAGUUAGUUUGAGGUGGUUGGUUUGUGGCAUUUUGAUUGGUCCUCCAUAUUGCACCAAGUCACAGAGAAGGUUAUAGCCAACAAGGAUACUGAGUUUGUUGUCACUAAUCAGAUAGGGAGUUCAGGAAAUGAGAAUUUAGGAGCUAAUGAAGAGAUUCAAAAAUUAAGGCAGCAAAUGAUAGAAAUGCAUCGAGCUUGGGCUAAUGGGUUGCCGCCUCCUCCAGUUCCCACUGAUAAUCUGGAAUAUCUUUCUAGCUUGCCUCCUGUGUCACAUGCAUAAUUUCCCAUUUUUUUUAUAUGGCACAACAUGUAUUAGGGUAGACUCUGGGGCAAAAAUAUCCAACCACUUCCAGUGUUCAUUUCCUCACUCCCCAAUCCAAGACUAUCACAUACUCAGCUUCACCUGCUGUUCAUACUUUUGCGGUGCCACCUCCAUCUGAAGCUCCUAAUUUUGAUGUUCAUCCAUAAGUUGUGCAUUUCUACUCUACAAGAGAGCCUGCAUUGAAUAUUACUGGUGAUCAACGUUACACUUUUGAGCCUACAUUCAAGUUGAUUGGUCUUUAAGGUGACACUCACCCGCCUAAAUUUUCUUCUAUCACUGAGAAGCCUGUUAUAACAGAAGAACAAGAGGAAAUGACCAGAAAAUUGAGAAGUUUGGAACUGACUAUGAAGAACUUACAAGGACUUAGGGGUUACAAAAGUGUCUCAUAUAAAGACUUAAGCAUGUUUCUAGAUGUCAACCUUCCUCCUGGCUUUAAAAUGCCAAAGUUUGAGAAAUAUGACGGACAUGGGGACCCAGUGGCAUAUUUCAGGCGCUAUUUUAACCAAUUAAGAGGUGAUGGAGGGAAGGAAGAACAACUUAUGAAUUAUUUCGGGGAGUCUUUCAGGCCUAGCUUCGGAAUGGUUUGUUGACCAAGACAUUGACAAGUGGAUUAGUUGGGACGACCUAGCUAAUGAAUUUGUGCAACAAUUUCAAUACAAUGUGGAGUUGAUCCCUGAUGAAAAAUCCCUAAAUAGUACAAAAAAGAAGAAUACUGAGAGUUUCAAGGAGUAUGCAAUCAGAUGGCGCGAAGAAGCUGCUAGAGUAAAACCGCCAAUGAAAGAAAGCAAAAUAGUGAAGGUAUUUAUUCAAGCGCAGGACAAAACAUAUUAUCAAUACUUGCUACCUGUAUUAGGCAAGCUGUUCAUUGAGGUCCUUAAAAUGGGGGAGAUGAUAGAAGAGGGAAUUAAGACUGGUCGUAUUGUGAGUUUUGCAACAUUGAAAGUGACUACUCAAUCAAUUCAAAAGGGGUAUGGAAGUGUUGGGGAGAAAAAGAAUGAGGAGGAUGCAUCUGCUAUUGUAGUUGGAUAGCAGGAAAGGUCAAGAAAACCCCAUCGUUGUCACUCUCAGGCUCAAACCCAAGCUCAUGCCCAAGCUUCACAUAAUCGCUCCCAAAAUCCAUUAUACUCUGUUCCUUCACAUUCAUAUCCAGUGUAUAAUGUACAACCACAUGUUCAACCCCAUCUUACCCACAAUGGCAUACCCUAAGGACCCAAAGUCAUCCUCUAAAUCCAUACACAUACCAAAGCCCUUCUAGGCCAGAUUUGCUAUCCAAGCCAAAUAAUGAAAUGAGGCAGAAGUAGAGAGAUAGAUUUACACCAAUUGGGGAGUCAUAUGCCAGUUUAUUUUAGAGAUUGAUACAUGAGGGCAUGAUCACUCCUCUUCUUAGGCACACCCUUAAUCGGCAUUCAAGAAAUUUUGAUCCUAACACACGAUGUGCGUAUCAUUCUGAUGCUCAGGGUCAUAGUAUUAAAGAUUGUCGAUAUUUGAAAAGAGAAAUUGAAAAUAUGAUUUAAGAUGGAUCAAUUAUGGUGCAGAACAUUGAUAGUAGGGGAAGCUCUAGUCAUGCUGAUAUGCAAACCAGUGGCUAAGUUGUCAGGCUAAGCAAUUGAGAAGUCAUUCCUCUCAUCACUAGAAAGAGGUCUGGUAGUUUGUUUUGUCUUCUUUUCUGUUUUCUAAAUUAUUUUAGGAUUGUAGUUCGGGAUCUAUCUUGUUUUGUCCCUUUGUCGUUUAUGUUCAAACUCUUCUAUCUUUUAUUUCAACUAAAAUUAUCCCUUUCCCCUUGUGUUUUAAAUAUGUGUUGUUUAUUUGUUUUCUUUAUACAGUACACUUUAUGUUGAUUUUAGUGAUAUGACAUUCCUAUGGAGCCUUUAGCCAUAUCUUAAAAAUCCAAUUUAACCAUGAAACAUAAAAUUAGAGGGCUAAGGUUAGAAAAAAAAGAUCUAAGAUAAUUGGUAGAGUGCUGAGACAUUUAGGGACAAGUUGAAGCCCUCUUUCAAAAUUAAGGCAAUUAUUUUGAGAAUCACAAGAAUAACUUGGACAACAAUUAAAAAACAUAACUCAAUUAGGUCAAACAGUGUUUGCAUGAUACUAUCAAGAGGAACAGGAAGAAAAUUAACUCCAUGAAAGCAUGAUGAGUCAUUCAAUGUGAGGGAUGUACAACAAAUGUGGAGUUGUAUGUUUGACAAGUAUAGAAAAAGAGGUGGAACACAUGUUCGGGGCAAGUUAGUAUUGUAAAACAUGUCAUAAAUAAUGUUGAUCGUGCACUUUCACAUUGUAUGCUACGUACUAGUAUUUUCAAGGAUUGAUAUGACGAAGACAUUUUUUACUGUUUUCCAAACAUUGUGUCAUCCUUUGUUUACCCCAUUUGAGCUUUAGUCCUAUUUUCUUUCAUACCCCUCUUUUGGAAUUAAGAUAAAGCCAACAAAGCUCAAAAGAAAAGUAUCGAGAAAGAGAAUAGAGUAAGAUAGUUUCAAAAAAAGGGGGAGAAAAAUGUGUCCACGAAGGAACAAAAGAGUUUCAGGAAAUUAGAGUCAGAAAAAUCACAAAAAAAAGUCAAAAGAAAAAAGAAAUCAGAAUCAAACAAAACAAGUUGUCAGAUCUACGCGUGACCUGAUUCUCCUCUCUCGGGGGUGAGAUACGUAGGCUGCCCUACUCUGGGCUCAGUCCAACCAAAUAAAAAAUUUAGAAUUGCUCAGUUUGGGGCAUGAGUUGAUUCUUAUUGUUUGAGUCGAUUCUAAAAGUUGUAAGUCCUACCGCACUUCAAGUGUCGUUUGAGCCCCAUGCCAUUCUUUCUUUCUAACCCUAUCCAAAAGCCAAGUUACAACUAAAGAAAGACCUUCAGAUCAAUCUUUAAGGAUCUUAAGGCUAAGUAUGCAAGGGAUAUGAUAAUGCAUUUGGGAACUACUUGUCUUCCUGAGCAUAAGAAAUUAGGAGAGAAAUAAAAAUGAGAGAGUCUUAUUGGUGAAAACCCUCACGGGCACCGUAAGACGAUGGUAAGUUGAGAGAAAUAAAAAUGAGAGAUUCUUAUUGGUGAAAAUCCAUACGGGCACCGUAAGACGACUGUGAGUUGGGAUAGAUGAAAAUAAGAGAAUCUCAAUGGUGAAAAACCCUCAUGAACAACAUGAGGUAAUGGUGAAUUGAGAGAAAGAAAGAAGCUUGUUGGCGAAAACCCUUCAAGGCGCCACUAGCCGAAUAGGGUCUUAAAUGCAAUUGACCUAAGGAAGCAACUCAGUUUCAAGGCCAUUAACUCAACAACAAUAGGUAGAAAGUUUGAAUGAAAAGAUCAAGCUGCUUAAUCCAAAAUUCAUGGAAUAAUCAUUAGUGUUGACUGUCAUUUUUAGAUGAAUGUUUCAUUUUUUUUGUUUCAAAAGGGGACAUUCAUUGUCUUUUCUUUUUUCUCUUUAUUUUUAUUUUAUCUUUCUUGAGUCAGUUAUCCAAAUAAAAAUUGUCAUUUUUUUUUCUCUUGUCUUUGAAUCAAGUCCGUGUCAAAACAAGUGAGAAAAAAUUUCAAAACUGGCUACCAGUUUCUUUAAUUUCCCAAAGCAAGACAAAAGCUAGCGCAUGAAAGAGGCAUGAUUGUGAGCCAAAAAAAGUGCAUGCAGAAUGUUUUUUCAACAGACAAGUCGGGAAACUCAUAAAAAUUUCAGGGUUCAAAGGGUCUAUUUAAGAAGCAUGGAAAAGCAGAGAUACUAUGUUGUUUCAGUAACUCUUAAUAAUCUGAGUUUGGGUCAAUGAUUCAACAAGUCAAUGAUAUAUGCUAAUGGUUGGAAUCAAGGUUAAAGGUGAGGAGGGCAAGAGCGAUCGUCGCGAAAGCUAAAGCCACAAACCAGCCACCAUGUUUUAAACUCACAAGUUUUCUUUGAUGAAACAAGAAACAUAUUACCUUCAAAGCAGGGACUUCAGAGCAUAAACAACAAGGGCUGCAAUGCCUCACUUUUACAAAUGCAGGAAGCAAUAUUGUUGCACAGGUUUAAUAAUAAAAUCAUGGUAAAAACUCAUCAUCCUAUAUCCCUCAGAGACACACUUGUCCAGGGAUUUUAGUUUUCAUUUGCUAGGUGAUACACUUCUUAAAUUGAACCUUCACUCCUAGAAGAUGUACCUUUUAGUCGAAUCAUUCUCUUUGAUGAGUCAUUCCCCUUGACCCCUAGAAGACGUACCUUUUAGUCGAGUAAUUCCCCUUGACCCCUAGAAGAGGUACCUUUUAGUUGAUUCAUUUCCUUUGAUUCCUAUAAGACGUACCUUUUAGUCGAGUCAUCUCCUUUGAUUCCUAUAAGACGUACCUUUUAGUCGAGUCAUUCCCCUUGACCCCUAGAAGACGUACCUUUUAGUCGAGUAAUUCCCCUUGACCCCUAGAAGAGGUACCUUUUAGUUGAUUCAUUUCCUUUGAUUCCUAUAAGACGUACCUUUUAGUCGAGUCAUCUCCUUUGAUUCCUAUAAGACGUACCUUUUAGUCGAGUCACUCCCUUUGAUUCCUAUAAGACGUACCUUUUAGUCGAGUCAUUACCCUUGAACCCUAGAAGACAUACCUUUUAGUUGAGUCAUUCCCUUUGAUUCCUAUAAGACGUACCUUUUAGUCGAGUCAUUCUCCUUGAUUCCUAUAAUGAUGUGACUUUCACAAAAAUCCUUUGAUGAUAAACUAGGGCAAAAUCUAAUUUUUGUGUUGGAACUUUACUUUUCUGGAAAAUGAAACCCUUUUAUAAUAAUAUUUGUUUGGGAUAAUUUUCUUUUUAGUUUUGAUGUGAUUUCAAGAGCCCGCCUAGAGAACAGGGUGAAGAAAUGAAAAGUCUAGCAACAAAGUGAAGAAGUUGAAAGUCAAGCAACAAGGUGAAAAGUUGAAAGUUAACAGAUUGAAAAAUAGCAAGUCAGGAGCCCACCUGAAUAAUAGGGUGAAGAAAUUGAAAGUUAAGCAAUGAGGUGAAAUAAUUGAAAGCCAAACAACAGAAUUCAGGAGCCCGCCUAAAGAAUAGGGUGAUGAAGUAGUGAGUCAAGAAUUAAGGAAAACUGCAUGAAUAGGAUUUUGUAAUUCCAUUUAUGUUUUAACUUGUAAUUAUCAUUUCUGAUGUAACAACAGAGCCGCGGACCGAAACCUCGAUGGGACCUUACUCAACUCUCCAACUCGGUAUAGUCCAUCUCCCUCCAAUCCUUUGAGAUAUAUGUCACUUGAUUCCCUUAUAACUAGGGUAGUUGUCUUAAAUCAAGAUUAGGUUGUCCUUCUCCCUUUUAUUUCUUCCUUCGAAUAAUGAUUGGGACAAAAUUCCAUCUCGUUGUCUACUUCUUUGAAUGAAAACACUCCGUAUUUGCAGUUAAAGGGGCAUGAUGUAGACACCAAAUUUUGUCCCUCUUGAUAUUAUUUUUAUCCAUUGUACCUUAUCCUACCAUGUACCCUCCUUCAUGUUACUAUAACCCCACAAAAUACAAAAAUAAUAAUAACAAACCUCUAACCAACUUUACACCUCAUCCAAAUAACCUACCUAUCCCAGCCCCCACAUUUUAUUCCUUUUCCAUAACAAAAUGGGGCCAUAGGGAAUAUUAGAAAACUUCCAUUCUCCAUGGGGGUAUAGAUAACAUUCUCUCCAUUGAUAUAAAAAAUAAGCAACUGGAACCCACCCAGCCACCGACAUUCACCCAGACCCACCGGUGAAGAAAUAGAACACGCACUCACCGGAGUUGCGCGCACAUAUACACACAAAUAACCAUAAAAUCUCACCCCCACGUGCACACAUAUCUGAUCGGGAGAGAAAUAAAACAAAAGGAGAGUGAAAUCGAGAGAGAAAAGGGAAAACCCCAUGAAAAAUAAAGGUGAAAGUAGAGGGAAAUCAGCUAGAAAAGUGGUUUUUCUGGUGAGUAUUCAUCGGAAAACGCCACUGUCAUCCCUUCUUAUUUAUUUUUUUGUCACCAUCGGAGCUUACCGGAGCUCCGGCGACACGAAAGCAGUCAACACCAACUCUGGUUCACCUCAGAUUCCAUCCAAAUCUGGUGUGAAUCUCUCUUGGUUUGGUGAUUUCCAGUUCGGGUUCAGGAGAUUCACCGAAAUCUAGUCCAAAUUUCUCUCUACUUCGCAAUUUUUGCUUUUUGGGAUCGAUUUGGCAUUCGUUUGAGUUCGUCAGAUCGGGUUUUGACUUCGGUUCCAAUCCGUUGGCUCGUCGAACAAUUCAGAAAUAAAAUCGAGGUUCAAUUUUUCAACUCUGUUUCUUUAUAUUUUUGUGGUGUGUUGAUGUCGUGAUUUGCAUGAUUUGUGGUGGUUGACGAUAUAAUUUUGAUUUUGAUUUUGUUUCUAUAAUUAUCGUAGCUUGAUUAGUUGAUUUUAUAUCGAAAUGGAGUAAUUGUGCGGUUGAGAAUUAAAUUGGGGGUCAUGGAUUGAAAAUUGAGAAAAAGUGAUUAUUGAUUAAUUUUGAUACAUUGAUGGUGUUUAACAUGAUAGAAUUAUGAUAUGUAUAAAUUGGUAGGCAAAUGGUAGGUCGAGUAGGCAAAUUUAGAAAUCGUGGAUUGUGGAAUGUUUAGAAUAUGUGUUGAAUGGUUUUAUUUACUGCAUUUGGAUCAAUUGUAUUUAUUUAGUUGGGGAAUGCCCCGAGGCUAUUUGUAUUUAUUCAUCGGGGAAUGCCCCGACGUAUUAUGAUGGCGAAAGAUGAUCGUGAUGAAGGCCCGAGGCAUCGGGUAGAGUAUAGUUUAGGACUAGCGUAGGUUAGUGUAGGUUUAUUUCAGUAUUUUUUAUUUUGGUUUGUAAUAAAUUGGACUGAACAUUAUUGUUAUUUUGGUUUUGGAUUGUUGUUUGAUGUGUUUGAUGUUUAUUUAUGUGUUCUGUGUGGUUUAUACGUUUUUAGUGUCAAAAUUAAUCGAUACGCUCCAUCAAGCGACCGUGGUCAAACCACGGGACCGAGGGGUGCCUAACUCCUUCCCCUCGGUCAACAGAAUUCCUUAGUCGGAAUCUCUGUUUGCAAACCAGUUUUAAAGAGUCAAAUCGUUUUGAAAAAGAUCUUUCAAAGGUGACUUGGCACACCGAAUUAUGUCAAGUGACGACUCUGAAUAAAAAAUGUAAAUAGUCCUUUUUGAAAUAAAUUUUCAUCUUUUGUCACUUUGAUAAUAAAAUCCUUUCAAACCUUAAAAUCCAAAUCUUUUUGGAAGUUGAAAAAAAGGGGUGUGACAAUUCCAACCACACUUAUCAUGUCCACACUUUCUAAAAAAGUUAUCAAACAUGAGUUAGCUAAAUAUAAUUAAAUAAAUACAAUAAUUUGUCUAAUUUCUAAGAAUAGUUGCAUAAAAAGCUAUAGAAUUACCGGAAUAAAUAAGUUCAUCUACAUGUUGCAUGGGCACAUUUUCUUUAUCGGAGGUCUUAUUAAAACUCAUAACAGAUUUCAUUCAUCAUUGUCAGUCACGCAAUUAAUUUUUUUCGAAGAUCAUUUCCACCCAUUCUAGUAAAAAAAUAAGCAUUCAUAAGAUACUAAAAUACAUCUGUAUAAAUACAAAUAUAAAUAGUAAUACAUAAUAAAGAUCUUUCUUCAACAACUACAACUCAAUGAUAAAAAAUUAAAAGCAAUUUCAAAAAUCAAAAAACGAAAAAAUUCAAUUUUACAAAACAAGUAAAGAUUUUUCUUCAACAACAACAACUACUACUUAUCAAUGUUGAAAAAAUAGAGCAAUAUGAAGGAUCUAAACUGACCCAUCAACCUAAAUGCACACCAAACACAAAUUAAAAAUAUAAAUUAAAAGCAAAAAAAAAUUUCCUGAAGAAAGUGAUGAGUUUCAAGAAAAAGGGAUCCAUUAAUCCAGCGGAUUAUAGUAAAAUUUGCAGAAAAAACUGAGUUCAAUUAAUUGUAGAGAAAUUUCAAGAAAGAGAUUGAUAAUUGAAACAAUUAACAAAAACAAAACUUGAAGUAUAGAUUGAUGAUUGAGAUAGAGGAAGCAAUUGUACAUUUUUGGAGGGAGAUUUUGUCUUUGAAAGUUUAGGAUUUUUGACUUCUGAAUUUCUUCAAUAUAGAAAAAAUAAGAUGAAAUUUGACCCUUGUCAGCGUUUAAUCUCUCUAAUAUAGUAAAAAAAAAAAGCUACAAUUUGGCAAAAAAAAAAUAGAGGGAAAUAUUUUGGAGGGAUUUUUUUUUUUUUUGGGGGGGGGGGGGGGGUAAUUUUUUUUCACUUUUUAAAUUUUUUUUGAUAUGUAAAUGUACUAUUCCUUUUUCAUGUAUUUUCUUAAAUUUACUUAUUUUGGUUUGUCACUUUUUGAUUAUUACAUAUUAUUUUAUAACUAUAUUAGAUAUGAAUUAUGAUAUUCAUAUACUUAUAUAAUUACAUAUUUAAUUACUAAUUAUUAAUGAAAUUAAUUAUAAUUAUAUUUUAAAAUAAUUAUUAAUUAAUUUAAAUUAAUAGCAUAUCAUGAAAUAUAUAUAUAUAUAUAUAUAUGGUUCGAUUUGAUUUUGUGUAUUAUUAUUUGGUCAAUUUAUCAAUUUAUAAACAUGCAAAAUCAAUAAGAAGAUGGUCUUAACAGUUUGAAUCAUAUAUACACUAUCUUCAUGCAUUAAAGUCUACAAAAAAAAUAUAAGAAUGAGUAAAUUCAAAUACGUUAGUGCUAAAAUAAACUUGUUUUAUCUAUAUAUUAUUAAAAAAAGAGGACAAAUCUUCUCCAUUUAGUCAAGUGGAAGCAUUAUAUAUUAACACACGUCAGAUUAGCUAAUUAGUUAGGAUAAAGUUGUUAAAUCUGUUGGCUUACCAAUUUUGAAUUCAAAUUUUCAGUUACAAAAUUUUAUAUUCAUUUGAUGUUUUUAAAAUUUUAAAUUCAAAUUAUCCAAUUAAUUUACACUUCUAAAUUUUUAGUUCCAAUGUUGGUAUAUUAGUUGGUUAUAAUUGCUACCCUUUACACUAUAAUAUAAUACACUAUAAAUUGGUUAUAAUUACAUUAGUUUUUAAUUAUUCUUUCCAAAAUUCCUACGUUUACCUAACUAACAAAUAUAAACUUCAUAAACUCGCAUUAAAGAAGAAAAUCUUAUUCAUAACUUCAUAAACUCGCAUUAAAGAAGAAAAUCUUAUUCAUAACUUCAUAAACUCGCAUUAAAGAAGAAAACCUUAUUCAUACACUCUCCAGUCAUCGGUUGAAUCUAUAAACUUAAUGGAGUUAACAACUACUUCAUGGAUUAUUUUAAAGUCACGGACUGAAUGUACAAAAUUUCAUUACAUUAGCAAUUUAAUAUUUUAAGUUCAAAUUAUUGAUAUGUUGGUUAUAAUUGUAACCUUUUACAUAAUAAUUUAAUACAAUAUAAAAUAUGAACUUCAUUUACUUUAUCUAUAGAACAAAAUUGAUGUUGAAUUUGUAAUAUAUAAGUCCACUAUUUUUUAUUUUUUUAAAAAAAACAUAACUAAACAUUAUCAAUAACAUCUUACAAAGAAUAAAAUACACUGUUUAUUAUAAAUCUUUUAACUUGAAAGCAACAUUCAUUUAUAGUAUAUUGGCAUCACUAAAAACAAAUUUUGAUUGUGAUGUAACCUCCUCAUUGAACCAUAUGUCAUCAUAUACAAUAUCCAAUAUCCAUCUGCAUUGAAUAUUGAAUUGCAAAUAAAUUCAUAUGUUAGUGAUUCAUUAUUACAUUAAUCUGAAAAAAAAUCAAAAGUUAUAAAUUUGAAUAAUGUGACAAAUAUAAACGAAUUGAUAAAGUUGCAUUAAAAUUUCUGAUAUAUAUAUAUAUAUAUAUAUCUUUUAUCACCAUCUUACUUAUCCGGUACACAAUUGAAUUCUAUUUAUCCAGAACACAGUUGAAUCCUACGUACUACACAACUACAUCUUCUUAUCCGUAUAGUUAACUGCCCUGAUUCUUUAUUCCCUUUCAUCUAUAAAUUAUGUCCAAUUCUAAUGUAAUACCACUUCUAACUCUUAAAAUCCUCACUUUAUUAUAUAGAAAGCUUCAAAUACUCAUGCAAAAAUUGUGAGUUCGUAAAUAACUCCAGUUCUUUUAUCCCUUACCAUAACUUACACAGUUGAAUCCUACGUACUACACAACUACAUCUUCUUAUCAGUAUAGUUAACUGCCCUGAUUCUUUAUUCCCUUUCAUCUAUAAAUUAUGUCCAAUUCUAAUGUAAUACCACUUCUAACUCUUAAAAUCGUUACUUUAUUAUAUAGAAAGCUUCAAAUACUCAUGCAAAAAUUGUGAGUUCGUAAAUAACUCCAGUUCUUUUAUCCCUUACAAUAAUUUACGGAUACGUACAUACUCUAAAAAAUGAUAGACUUCAUCAAAGACAUAAAAAUCACAAAAAUGCAUUGGAAGUUAAAAGUCUUCGUUGUUUGACUUUGGAAAAUGAAAGAUCGCUUUAAUCCCGAUGCUUUGUAUGCAAUUGAAAUGAUUCUGUAGGAUGAAUGAGUAUCCAAAUACAUACUCCUGAAUUUCUAAAUACUUUAAAAUGCUCUGGAAUUUCAAAUCAUGCCAUCACUUUAAAAGUUGGUGUAUCCAUGAUGUUAUUGAGAAAUAUAGAUCAAUCCUCGGGGCUUUGUAAUAGAACAAGAUUAAUCAUCACUAGAAUUGAAAAUUGGGUUAUCGAGGUGAAGGUCUUAUCAGGAAAUAUGAUUGGACAAAAGGUUUUUAUACCAAGAAUGUCACUGACUCCGUCAAAUUUGAGAAUACCCUUUAAAUUUCAGAGAAGACAGUUUUCAAUAGUGGUAUUAUUUGCCAUGACUAUCAAUAAAAGUCAAGGACAAUUUUUAUCUCAUGUUGGGUUAUAUUUGAAGAAAGCAGUUUUCACACAUGGCCAGCUAUAUGUUGCACUAUCACGGGUGACAAAAAGACAAGGAUUAGAGAUUUUGACAUAUGAUGAUGAAGGAGAAGUUUCAAAUGAAGCAACUAAUGUAGUUUUUAAAGAAGUUUAUCAUAAUUUGAGUGUAAAUUAAAGCUAAUUUGAUCCAAAUUGCAAAUUAGGGCUCAACAAAUAUCAUCAAUUUAUUGAGGGUUAGACUUAGCUUUUUUUAUCAGUCAAAUAGAUAAUAAAAGUUAUUUUUUGCUAUAGUAAGCAUAUAGCAGAAGUUAGUUAUUAUGUAAGUUUUUUAUGACUCGUUAGCCUUUUCAUUUAUUCUCUUUGUAAGUUUUAUUCAAGUAUUAUAAUAAAAUUUUUUAUAGAAUUAGAGAUUAUUUCUACAUCUAAUUAAAUUAUAGACUUUUGAAGUAAUUCCACAAAUGAUUUCUAGGGAGAGUAGGAUGUAUGUACGCAAAAAUUACCUAUCUUUGUAAGGUACAACAGAGGCUGCUUCCUAGAUCCCCGGCUCAAAAAAAAGUAUAAGAUGCAGGUUUUCUUCUUGUGAUUGAAUAUUUAUGAGGUUUUCUUUCUUUUUACAUAUCAAACUAGGAAGGGCAUCUAGAAUACAAAAAAAACAUGUGUUUCUGCCAUCAUGCAAGAUAUAAUCAUAUGAAUGAUACCCAAAACUAAAUUGACACAAGUUAAAUUAAUCGAACUACAAUUUACCUGUGUAACUAAUGACAACUGAUGCUUCCUUCAAAUAGUCAACUUUACUUGAUGAAAAUGUGAAGUACUACACAAUUUCAGACCCAUUUUUAACUGUUAACUAGAAAGAUAACAAUAUGAUAUAAUCAAUUGUAAAAAAAGAAAGAAUAACAAUUAGCAGGCAAGAAGUGAUGCACUUCAAGAUGGACAUGUAACAAACAGUGGCAUCUAUAAGUUUUCAGAGCACGAGUGAGUUCUAAGAAAUUACGCAAAUACUUUUAUAUUACAUUAAAAUAUUUAACUAGAUAACCAAUAUUUACAUUAGAUAGGAAACUUGACCUCAAAAACAAAUUGAAAUAAUAGACAAUGUGAUUGAACAUUUGUCCAGGUUAUCCUUGAAGUCUUAUUUACAUUCAACAUGUUUAAACCCAAACACUAAAUGUGCAAAUGGGAUAUUAGCAUCUACAAGAAUUAAGACAUGACAACACAUAAUACUAGGAAAAAAUUAUCCUUGAAUUUGCAUACUCUAUACACAUACGAUCUCAAAUUCUGAAUUAAUUGAAUCCCAAUGAAUAAAAUUCAUUUUCCAGUAAUGGGCUAAAUCUAUAUCCUUUCACUGACUAAAGCUACAUAUCAAUGUAUUUUGUAAGAGCGUUCAAAUUUUAUAGUUGGUAAAAUAUAUGUAUUUUAUGAACAGACACUCAUAAUCUGAACUAACAAAUGAUUAUAUGCUCUACAAUCUGAUAUCGUCAAUUAAUCCAAGUUCAAGUAACACACAUUAUAUCCAUGAUAUCUAGCAAACAUGGCCAAGUUUCACUAAGAGAUAGUUCUUACCAUUAAUCAACUAACUCACGUUCGGUUUUUAAGAUCAUUGCAAAUUUGCCUUAAAUCUUCAUAUUGGAGACAUCACAUUAACAACGGGAAACAGAUCAGCUAGCUAUACACCUAAUGACACACUCUAAAAUAAUACAUAGUAGCUAAACUAUUUGCAAAAUGCAAAUCUUACUAUCAAUAGAAAUCAAUACAAUUAAUACAAAUUUAAAUAAGCAAAAUUAAUGAGUGAACAAGAAGCACACACCUUUACUGUCCUCUCUUGAAGAAGUUUGCUUGGAAUAACACCAAAUCGUGCAUAGAGACUCAGGUAUUGGUUGAUCUGCAGGUUAUGGCAAUAGAUACAUCAACCGUAGUAUCUAUACAAUAGAUAGAAAGCACAAGUCUAUGUAAAGCAUUAUUACUUUCACAUUCCACCUCAGAGGCGGCAUAUUUUGUAGGAUAAAAAUAAUUAGUUUUAACACACUGUCACUAUUAAUCAUUGGUUCAGACAAACAAAGCAUUGCCAUAACAGCAUUGAAGUCUGACUAUAUAGGUUCAGAGACCAAAAAUUACAAGAACAACUCAAGGUACAUUCCAGGACACAGAAGUCUUCAGUACAAAUUAACUCAGUCCUAAUAACAAAAUCAACAAUGCAGGAUUACACAUGAAGCUGUUACAUAUUAACAUGUGGGUGCGUAGCUUGCAAGUUGAAGCAAUGUGCAAAAUCAAACCCAAUUUGUGUUAGAUUAAUGGAUUUGUAGUUGUUAUAUGUUAGAAUAAAGAAGCAAGUUCCUGUUAGAUAGUCAAAUCUACAUAUCCGGCCGAAAGGUUUCAGCUAAAAGCAUCAUGCAAAUAAAUUAUUAGUCAUAUGAAGCACAACAUCACCACAUCUUCCUGCCAUUAUUUGGAUGAAUUCUGUUGGCUCCAACUGAAUCAAUAUCUUUAAGACGAUUGUAAGCACAAUUCUCAAAAGUUCAACUUCAAGAUCAGUUUGCUCAUCUUUUGCAAUAGUAUCUAUAAAUCACGAUCCAGAGUUAGCAAAUUUAGAUGAAAAACACAGACAACUUAUUGUUUACCUUGAGAGUCGCUUAAGCAAUUAGCCUUUGCAUCUUCAACAGAAUCAUCAAGAAGGAGUGGACUCACAAGAGCCUGAAUGAAAACAAAUCAAAUCCAGAAAACUAUAACAAACACUCAACAGUUCAGAAGAAAUUCAGAAAAGAUGAAAACAGAAUUCAAUAAAAUAGCAAAAAGGAAAGACAAACCAAAAGAUUUAGCUGCUUGGCACCAUACUUAUAGACAAAAAAAAAUAGUAUCAGCAAUGAGUCUAUUGCAGAUUUUAGGACAGCUCAUACUCUAAGAGAAGGAUUUUACUAUCAGUUAACAGUGUUAUUAAAAGCUAAACAAAGCAAGGAACCAAUGUGAAACAAGGACUAUCUUUAUUAGUAGAUAUGUCUUAAUAUAUGCAAUGCAAUCACAGAAACAAGAUUAUAGGAGUAAGAAGAUACCAUUAACAUCAUAAUAUAGCUCCAAAUCUUAUAUUAAUCAAUAAUUUUUGUUCGAUUCUAUAUUUUUCUCAGCUCAGCUGCAUCAAAUGUCUAAUUUCACUUGGAUGUUCGAAUUAAAGAGGUAAGAAAUCACAAGAAAAGGAGAGCAUACCAGACAUUAUAAAGACCAUGAAAUCAGACACUAACUGACAAAAUAAGAAGAUUAUUUUUCAGCAUCUACAACAAAUUUAACAACAAAAAUCAUAGCUUUCAAUUGCACGCUCAAACUAAAAUUAAAAAAAAUCACAAAAAAAGGAGAAUUUGUCAGACGUUACCGAGACCAUUUAUCAGAUACAGACGAAUGUCUAAAGAAUAAUUUUUCGACAUCUACAACAAAUUUAACAACAAAUAAAUCAUAGAUUUCACAUGCAUGUUCAAAUCUAGAAAGAGUAAAAGAAAAUUAUCAUAACAGGAGAACUUACCAGACAUAACGGAGCCCGCAAAUCAGAUACCAAACGACAUAAAUGGAGAUUAUUUUCAAAGAUCUAUGUAAACUUAACAAUAAACAACUUGGAUUGAUUCGAAGAACCAACAAUAAACAAGUCAAAAUACUUUGAUAAAACUAAGUUAGAAAAAAUAAAAUCUUAAACGUUUCAGCUAUCAUUUUCUGUUCCAAUUAAGUACAUAAUACAUAUUUGUUAAAAUUAUGUUCGAAUUUGGAGGUUGAAAAAUAUUGAUGAAGGUGAAUAGGCAACUUUUCAGACAUAAAAUACUAACAAGGGUACUUUCCCAAAUCUAGAAAUGUCUCUAUGAAUAUAAUAUUGCUUCAUUAAUAUCUUUAGUCUUUUGGAAUGGACUUUUAUAUACUUAUUUUUAAAAUAUGGAUUGCGCUUUCAUUUUACUUUUGGAUCUAUUUAUCUCAUAUAAAAUAUUUCUUGAAGAAGGUACAUUAUAAUAUGUACUAUUUCUUAUAAGAAAAUGAUAAUACACAGGCACUCACGUAUAACUCUUUCUAAUUUAAUCUAACUUUUUAGCUUUACCAUUCUUUAACCUUUUUCUUGAUUUUCUUUUCGUUGUACUUUAUUAUAUCAUAAAAAAAAAAAUAUUACAUUCAAUAAGAAAAUAAUAAAAAUAUUAAUGUAAAAAUAAUUUAAUAUUAAUUGAUUAAAAAAUAAAUAUGUCAUUGAACUUAGAAAUAUUAAAAAUUUAUUUCAUACGUAAAAUAUAUCCACAUUCAUGUAAUUAUUAUAAAUAAUUUUAUCCUUUUGUACCACUCCUUUUAAAAUUAGUUCAUUUUUAUUAUUUUAUUUAAUGAUAUUUUUAGUAUCGUAAAUGACUAAAAACAAUUAAUAAAAUUUAAUGACCAUUUCUAUGUCAAAUAAUUUCACAAACCACAUUUUAGUUACAUCCAUUACCCAAUUUUCUAAAUCAAAUAACAAUUUCUUAAUCAGAUACAAAUAAUUUAAUUAUAUUAUACUGCACAUAAAUGUAUAAUUAUUUUUUAAACUAGAUUAAACCAUUGCAAUCAAUAAUUAUUUAAAAAUUACGCUAUUUAUCCACGAAUCGCGCGGGUACGUAUACUAAUUUUACAUUAAGUAACAAACUUGAAUUCAUUAAACUUAUUGAAGUUUUAAGUUGAUGGAGAGAACCCAAACAAAUGAACGACUUUAGAAAAAAAAAAAUAGUAGACAACAAUCAUAAAAUGCAAAAUACAAUAGGAGAAAUAUUAUAUUGUAUUUGAGUGAGAUUUAUUGAAGUUUUAUUUAAAUUUAAUAUAAUUAAUUAAUAGAGGUAAAUGAAAUCACUAUUUAUCUAAGUUGUAUUUGAAACUAACAAGUAGGAUUUCAUAAAAUCAAAUGGAACCGAAUGAUGAACGUCUCUAAUUACACUAAAUCAAUAAAAGUGUGUCAUCCCAACAAUAUUGUUUGGAUAAAAUAAUAUUUUUCAAAAUAAUUAAUUGAUUGAGAUGAAGUUUUGAGUCAAUCAAAAUUAAUAUGCACUUACUUAUUUAAGUUAGUUUUAAGACAUACACAUUACAAAAUUCGAUCAAAUCAAUAUAUAUAUAUAUGUUGGUUUGAUUCAGGUUCAGUUUGACUUUUUUAUGGUUAACGCCAAACCAAAUAAAGAAUGGUCAGGUUUAUUUUUCUAGUGCCAAAACAAUCAAACCAAAUCAUAAGUCAAUUUUUUUCUCGAUUUGGUUUGGUUCGUCGGUUUGAUUGACUUGAUGGUUUGGUCUGUACAGCCCUACUAUGUACCAUCCUACAUAACAUAUUCAUAUUCUACAUAAGGUUCUACAUUUAUUAUGCCACAUAAAAUGCUUACACGGCAUAUUCAUAUUCUAUGUAAGAUCCUAUGUGUAUUAUGCCACAUAAGAAGCUUAGAUAAUUUGUGGAAAUAAACUGGGAAUCAGAAUAAAAAGAUAUUUGUCAUACCCCUUUUUCAAUCGAAAAGAUUCGUUUUAAGUUUUGAAAGGGUUUUUAUUAUUAAGUGACAAAAUAAAGCAUGUUUGUUCCAAAAAGGACUUUUAUCAAUUAAAACUCAGACUCGCCGCUUGGCAAGAUCGGGUGCGCCAAGUCACCUUCGAAAAUCUUUUUAAAAAAUAUUUGACUCUUUAAAACUGGUUUGCAAACAGAGAUUUCAGUUAAGGAAUUCUGUUAACUGAGGGGAAGGUGUUAGGCAUCCCUCGAUCCCGUGGUUCGACCACGGUUGCUCGAUGGAGCAUAUCGGCUUAUUUAACACUACAAAUGUAUAAACCACAUAAAACAAGCAACAAACAAAUCAAACAAAGUUCAAAACCAAAAUAAUGACCAGUCCGAUUAUUACAGACCCAAAAUAAAAGGUACUGAAAUAUAAACCUACGCUAACCUACACUAAUCCUAAACUACACUCCACCCGAUGAUUCGGGCCUUGAUCACGGGCCUCCUUUGUGUACAUGAUACUUCCAGGCAUUUCCCGGUGAAUGAGUACAAUUUUCCUUGGGGAAUUCCCCGGCCAAAUGAGUACAAUUGAUCCAAACGCAUAAAUCAAAACCAUUCAACAAACAUUUUUUGAUCAUUCAACAAUCACAAGUCCUAAUUUUUGCCUACCCAACCUAGAAUUGCCUAUUUAUUCUCGACCUAAAAUAUAAUAUUAUCGAGUUCGAUAUGAUGAACAAUUAUUCCGAAUCAAACAUCCAUUAAUGAAUCCAAGUAAACCAAUGUUUGCCUUUUAUCAAACUUUCAAAUCCCGCUCCGAAUCUCAAUUUUUUUUCGAUCAAAUAACCAAUUUCAAUAUAGAAACAACCAAUCAAAGCCACGACAAUCAUGGAUAUUCAAACAAACUAUCAAAAUUAUAUCAUUAAUUAUCACGAACCAUGCAAAUCACAAAAUCAAUAUAUCAAAUUAAGUAAAAUAAAAAGGAGUUGAAAAUUUGGACCUUAGAAGAAGCUUUCAAAAUUGAUGUAUUAUUUCGAUUAAACUCGGGUUCUACACAUCCAAAACCUCCGAUUCAAACCUCAACAACAGACGAACUCCAACUCGGGAUCACCAAAAUUCAUUUUGCCGGAGCUUCAAAAGAUUACAAUGAUCGUAAAAUAACACUUCCUGGUGAUAAAUUCGCCAAGACGAUCGAACGGAGGGUGUGAGUUGUCAUUACUGACCAUAGAAUUUUGGUAGGUUUGGACAGAGGUGGGUAAGGUUUUGGUCAAGAGCUCAAUCCCCGGUGAAUAUGGCGAUUUCGGAGAGAAUUUCACCUAGAAAACCGUCCCUCUAAUUUCCUUUCAACUCAGUUUUUAUUUCUCAUCUCUCUUCUGUCCUCUUAUUCUCAAUCUCUCCCUCUCAAAUACUCUCUUUUUCACUGUUUCCCUCUCUCAAUUUCUUUCCCAGUUUCUCUCUCUCUCUCCCUCAAUCCAUUUUCUCUACCUUAUGGGUCCGAGUAUGUUGCUACCUGUGUGAGCUCCUCCCCUUGAAAAUGGAAAACCCCAAUAUUCUGUGUAAUAGCGUGAGGUAUAUAUGGUUGUUUGUGUAUGGCAGUGACCAGAUCCCCGAGUUUGAGCAAAUGGUGUGGUCGUGUAUUUUAAAGAAGAAAAAUGGUGUUUUUCGGGGGGUCUUCCCUGGAAAAAGGAAGAAGAUGAUACUCCUUUUGUUCUUUUCUCCCAAUGAUGAUGAUCAAUGAUGGAAUCGUGAAUUGGAACCCUCUUUAUUUUUUUUUGUCUGUAUAUAUUGUUCUCAUUUUCCUUUGUGAAGAAGAAAUGUGAGGGGGUCACGUGGAUGGGGUAGUGGGGUAGGGUAUAGGGUAUAGGGUGAGUUGAUUAGGAUAAGAUUUGUUAGGAUAAGGUUAGGGAUUUAAUUUGUUAGAGAUUUUAUUAAGGGUUGUUAUUUUUGUAUUUUUGUGGGAUAUAAUUAUACGGAUGAGGACAUGUAGUAAUACAGAGAUAAAAUGGUAAAAAUGUUAUCGGGGAGGGACAAAAUUAGGUGUCUACAUCAUGCCCCCUUUGAAUGUAAACACGAAGUGUUUUCAGACAAAGAAGUACACAAGAGACAGAAUUUUAUCCCGACCAUUAUUCAAAAAUGAAACAGAAGGAAGGAGGGAGACCAAGUCUUGAUUUAGGACAUCCUACCUACCCACGUUAUGAGGGAAUCAAGUCAUGGGUAUCUUAAAGGAUUGGAAAGAGAAGGACUAUACCGAGUUGGAGAGUCGAGUGAGGUUCUAUCGAGAUUCCGGUCUGCGGCUCUGUCAUUACAUCAAAAAAUGAAAAUUACAAGUUAAAAAAAUAAAUAAAAUUAAAAAAAACUCUAUCUAUGCAGAUUUCCAUGACUCUUGACUUGCUACUUCAUCACCCUAUUCUUCAGGCGGGCUCCUGACUUGCAAUUUCUUUACCUUGUUCUUCAGGCGGGCUCCUGACUUGCAAUUUUAUCUCUCUAUUUUUUGGGUGAGCUCCGGACUUACAAUUUCAUCACUUGUUGCUUGGUUUUCAAUUUCUUCACCCUAUUUUUCAGGCGGGUUUCUGACUUGCUAUUUUUUUAUUUGUUGACUUUUAAUUUCUUCACCUUGUGAUGUGUGAGCAGAUGCUAACACAUUUGAGGCUUUUAACUCUAAAUAAUUACGAAGUCUUAAGUAACUUUUGGUUAUUUUUGAUUGUUUUCUUGUGAUAUUAUUGUUGUAGCAAAGAUGAGAGGAAAACAUAGGAAAGAUGAACAAAAUAAGUAAAAUCUAGUACAAGUGAGCUGAUAUGAGUCUGACGGUAUUUUUUGCAAGCCGUCAGAGAUGUGGUAAGCUACCAGAAAAAGGUGUUAGGAAGAACAGUGAAUAAGAGUUGCUGGAUAAAGGUGACAACAUUCUCAAUAUGUCAUCACAAGUGUGGAAAACCGUCAGAAUAUGACGUCAAGUGGGUCAGAACAUGAUGAAAUAAGAUGAAGGUAUGACGACAUUUGCUACACGCUGUCACUCCUCUGGUAAGCCGUCGGAGGACAUCCUCAGAGUGAGGCAGAACAGGUUAAGAAGGCAUGACUUCUGAAGACAUAUCUGAGACGUCGUCAGAAGCCUGACGAUUAACACCAAUAUGCCGUCACCUAAAUCCGAGCCCAACUGUGAUUUUGUUAUUUUAUUACCUUAAUUAGGCUUUAGUAUAAAUAGCUUCUUUUAGGGUUUCAUUCAAAAACUUCGGAAGCAGCUUUUGACAUCUUGUAACUUAGUAAAGGGGAGUUCACUUGUUUUUAACUUUCUUAACUUAGAAUUCAAUUUCCCAUCCUUUGAUUUAGUUGUGGGAAAUUCUUAUUGUACUUGAAGGAGAAACAACUUUGAAUUUCAUCUUUUGUAAGUUCACUUGCUUUAACUUAUGAAUUUAAUCUUUGUUAUCUCUUUCUAUCUUAUGAGCAACUAAAACCCACAACUAGGGUUGUGGGAUCUAUGAUUAUUAUUUCAUUGAUUUAAUAGUUGGAUUAGGGUUUGAGUGAUUGUUCGAACGUCUUGAAAUUCUGUUGUUUUAACUUGAAUCUAUUGGUUGCAAACAUUAGGUUAUGCCUUAGGUUUUAUUUGCUUCUACUGAAGAAAUAGACUAGAGGUCGUGAAUUAUCAAUAGGGACUCAGAAGCUACCAACCUUCUGUUUAAUGAUUGAUGCCGUAACUGGAUCAAUCUACUUGAGAUAACAUCCGGUUGAAAAUAGAUAUGUUAUCUAAGUUCGAGAGAAUUAGAUAAUAAAUUAUCUGGUGAGGUCGAGAGAUAAGUCAGAUAGUAUCAUCGACAGGGAUAAUCUGCUAUUCCUACCUAUCACGAGAAUCAUGAACAGUUAUUAUUCAAUGGAGAUUAAUAGUCAUAGUGAUCAUAACCCUAGUUUCUCUAUAUCAUUGAUUCGAAAUAUUGAAAUCUAAGUUUUGAGUUCUAAAAUAAAUUGAAAUGUUAAAAUUUGUUUGAUUGAUAAAAAUCCCUAUUUUAUCUUUUCUUAUUAUUUAUUUGAAUUUAACUUGUAGCUAUAGUUUCGAACUAGUUUAAUCGCCACUCACAUUGUUCCUUGUGGAUUAGACCCCGACUCCGAAGUUAGAUAAAUAUAUUGACAACGACCGCCUUGCACUUAUUUGAGGUGUAAGUUGAGCGUUAUCACCUUGUUGGUUGACUUUCAACUUUUUCACCAUGUUGCUUGACUUUUCAUUUAUUCACCCUGUUCUUCAGGCGGGCUCCUGAAAUCACAUCAAAACUAAAAAGAAAAAUUAUCUCAAACAAAGAUUAUUAUAAAGAGAUUUCAUUUGCCAGGAAAGCGAAGUUCCAAACACAAGAUUUAAAUUUUCCCUAGUUUCUCAUCAAAGGACUUUUGGGAAAAUCACAACAUUAUAGGAAUCAAACGGAAUGACUCGUCUAAAAGGUACAUCUUAUAGGAAUCAAAGGGAAUGACUCGGCUAAAAGGUACGUCUUAUAGGAAUCAAGGAAAAUGACUCGACUAAAAGGUAUGUCUUCUAGGGGUCAAGGGGGAUGACUCGACUAAAAGAUACGUCUUAUAGGAAUCAAGGGGGAUGACUCGACUAAAAGGUACAUCUUAUAGGAAUCAAGGGUAUGACAAUUUUUUUUAUUCGGAUAACUGACUCAAGAAAGAUAAAACAAAAAUAAAAAAAGAAAGAAAAGACAAUGAAUGUCCCAAUUUGAAACAAAGAAACGAAAAAAUCAUCUAAAAAUGACAGUCAACUCUAAUGAUUAUGCCAUGCAUUUUUUAUUAAGCAGCUUGAUCUUUUCAUCCAAACUUUCUACCAAUUGUUGUUGAGUUAAUGUCCUUGAAACUGAGUUGCUUCCUUAGGUCAAAUUCAUUCGGAAACCUCAUUCGGUUAGUGGCGCCUUGAAGGGUUUUCGCCAACAAACCUGUUUCUUUCUCUAAGCUCACCAUUGCCUUAUGGUGCUCGUGAGGGUUUUCACCAAUAAGACUCUCAUUUUAAUUUCUCUCCUGAUUUCUUAUGCCGAGGAAGACAAGUAGUACCAAAAAUGCAUCAUCAUAUCCAUUGCAUACUUAGCCUUAGUAUUCUCAAAGAUUAAUCUGAAGGUUUUUCUUUGGUUGUAACUUAACUUUUGGAUAAGGUUAGAAAGAAGGGAUGAUAUGAGGCCCAAACGACACUUGAAGUGGUGUAGGACUUACAACUUUUGGAAUCGACUCAAAAAAUGAGGAUUAACUCAUACCCCAGUUUUUGACUGGGAAAUUCUAAAUUUUAUUUAGUUGGACCAAGCCCUGAGUAGGGCAACCUACGUAUCUCACCCUCGAGAGAGGAGAAUCAGGUCAUGCGCAGUUCUGGCAGCUUAUUUUUUUUGCUUGAUUCUGACUUCUUCUUUUUCUUUUCUUUUUUUUCUUUUGACCCUUUUCUUCUUUGUGAUUAUUCUGACUCUAAUUUUCUUGACACUCUUUUCUUUCUUUUUGGAUACAUUUUUUUUUGACUCUAUUCUUUUGCUUGACAUUUUUAUUUUAAGCUUUGUUGACUCUAUCUUGAUUCUAAAAGAUGUGUAUGAAAGAAAAUAAAACUAAGGCUCAAAUAGGGUAAAUAAAGGAUGACACAAUGUUUGGAUAGCGGAAUGAAAUGCCUUUGUCAUAUCAAUCUUUGAAAAUACAAGUACAUAACAUGCCAUUUGAAAGUCGGAGAUGAAGAUCAUGUGCGACAUUUUUUUACAGCAUUAACUUUGACUAAGUCUGUGCGUCACUACCUCUUCUACGCUUUUCUAGCAUACAAUUCCACUUUUGUUGUACAUUCCUUACAUUGAAUGACUCAUGAUUUCGUGUAGCUGAUUUUCUUUCUGUCCCUGGUGAUAUAGGAUCACGCAGACACUGUUUGACCUAAUCAAGACAUGUCUUUCAAUUGAUGACCAAGUUAUUCUUGUGAUUCUCAAAAUAAUUUCCUUAAUUUUUAGAAAAGGCUUCAACUUGUCACCAAUUGUCUCAGCACUCUACUAUUUUCUCAUAUGUUUCUUCUAACUUUAGCCCUCUGAUUCAAUGUUUCAUGCUUAAAUUGGACUUUAAGAUCUGGCUGAAAAUUCCGCAAGCAUGUCAUAUCACUAGAGUCAACAUAAAAUAUACUGUAUAAAGAAAACAAACAAACAACACAUAUUUAAAACACAAAGGAAAAGGGACAAUUCAUUUAGUUGAAAUAGAAGAUAGAAGGUUUGAACCUAAAUGACAAAAGGACAAAACAAGAUAGAUCCCGAACUACAACCCUGAAAUAAUUUGAAAAACAAAAAAGAAAACAAAAUAAACUCCAGACCUGUUCCUAGUAGGGAGAGGGGUGACUUCUCAAUUGCUCAGCCUGACAACUUAGCCACUGGUUUACAUAUCAACAUGACUAGAGCUUCCCUCACUGGCAAUGUUCUGCACCAUAGUUGAUCCAUCUUAAAUCAUCUUUUUAAUUUCUUUUUUUAAAUCUUGACAAUCUUUAAUACUAUGACCCAGAGCAUCAGAAUGAUACGCACAUUGUGCAUUAGGAUCAAAAUUUCUUGAACGUCGAUUAAUAUUGCACCCAAGGAGAGGAGUGAUCAUGUCUCAUUGUACCAAUCUCUGAAAUAAACUGACAUACGAAUCUCCAAUUGGUGUGAAGCUAUCUCUCAACUUCUGCCUCAUUUCAUCGUUUGGCUUGGAAAAAAAAUCCGGCUUAGGAGGGUUUUGGUAUGUUUAUGGAGUUAGAGGACGACUCUAAGGAGUUGGUGUGUUCCACAAUGGGUAAGAUGGGGGUUGAACAUAUGGCUGUGCAUUAUAUACUGGAUAUGGAGGUGAAGGAGUAGAGUAUAAUGGAUUUUGGGAGUGAUUAUGUGGAGCUUGGGCAACAACUUAGGUUUGAGCCUGAGAGUGACGACAACGGGGUCUUCUUGACCAUGCCCGCUGUCCAACUACAAUAGAAUAUGCAAAUUCCUCAUUCUUUGUCUCCCCAAUACUUUCUGAACCCUUUUGAAUUACGUGAGUUGUCGCUUUCAAUGUUGCAAAACUCACAACCAGUCUUAAUUACCUCUUCUAUCAUCUCCCCCAUUUUAAGGACCUCAAUAAAUGACUUUCCCAAUGUAGGUAACAAGUGUUGAUAAUAUGUUUCAUCCUAGGCUUAAAUAAACACCUCCACUAUUUUGCUUUCUUUCAUUGGUGGUUUCACUCUAGCAGCUUGUUCGGGCCAUCUGAUCGCAUACUUACUGAAGCUCUCAGUAUUCUUCUUCUUCAAACUAGUUAGGGAUUUUUCGUUAGGGAUCAACUCCACAUUGUAUUGAAAUUAUUGCACAAAUUCAUUAGCUAGGUCAUCCCAACUAACCCACUUGUCGAUGUCUUGGUCAACAAACCAUUCCAAAGCAGACUCUCCCCUAAAUAAGCCAUGAGUAGUUCUUCCUUCCCUCCAGCGCCUCUUAAUUGGUUACAAUAGUGCCUCAAAUGUGCCACUAGGUCCCUAUGUCUGUCAUACUUUUCAAACUUUGGCAUUUUAAAGCCAGGAUGAAGGUUGACACAUGGAAACAUGCGUAAGUACUUAUAUGAGACACUUUUGUAACCCCCAAAUCCUUGAAAGUUCUUCAUAGCCAGUUCCAAACUUCUCAAUUUUCUGGUCAUUUCCUCUUAUUCUUCCGUCAUAAUAGGCUUCUCAGUGUUAGGAGAAAAUUGAGGCGGGUGAGUGUCAUUGUAAAGACCAGUCAACUUAAAUAUAGGCUCGAAAGUGUAAUGCUGAUCACCAGUUCAAUGCAGGCUCUCUUGUAGAGUAGGGAGGCACAAUUUGUGGAUGAACAUCAAAAGUAGGAGCUUCAGGUGGGGGUUGCACCGCAAAAACAUGAACAGCAGGCGGAGCCGAGUAAGUGGUAGUCUUGGAUUGGGGAGUAAAGAAAUGAACAUUGAAAGUGUUUGAGUAUUCUUGAGCCGGAGUAGAUUUUGAUGCAUGUUGUAGCGUGUCAACAACAAUAGGAAAUUGUGCAUGUGACACUGGAGGCAAGCUAAAAAAAUGUUCCAGAUUAUCAGUGGGAAAUGAAGGAGGCAGCAACCUAUUAGCCCAAGCUCGAUGCAUUUCUAUCAUUUGCCGCCUUAAUUUCUGAAUCUCUCCAUUAGCUUCUAAAUUUUCAUUCCCCAAACUCCCUUUCUGAUUAGUGACCCCAACCUCGGUAUUCUUGUUGGCCAUAACUUUCUAUGUGACUUGGAGUAAUAUGGAGGUUCAGACAAAAUGUCACAAACCAACCACCUUAAACUAAUUGGACAAGAGAUAGCAAAUGCGUUAGAGUUCAACACUUUUUCAAAACCUCUUUUUUUCCUUGAAAAGAUCACCGAACCCUAAAAGGGCGCCUACGUAUCUCACUCCCGAAAGAGGAGAAUCAGGUGUUCGUAGUUUGUGAAGUCUUGCCAAAAUAGCCAAUUAAACUCUUUUUCUUUUUCUUGAAAUUUUAAGAAGAAAAGAAAAAUGACAAAUUGUCAAAAGAAUAGAUGAAAAUCUUUUUGAAUUUUUCGGCUUUAAUAACCUAUACAAAAUGAAACCUAUGAUUACCAAAGAAACUCUUUUUGGGUUUUCAAUUUUGCAUUUCAUACGAAAAUGAAACUUGAACCUAUUUAUGGUAAAUCUUUUGUAGUUUUCUUUUAAAGAUGUAUAUGAAACACCUACUCUAAAUGAAGAGUUAAGAAAAUCUUUUUGGUUUUUGAAUAAGAUCCCCAAACCAACAAUAGGCUGCUUACGUAUCUCACAUCCCAAAAGAGGAGAAUCAGGGGUGCGUAGUUCGUCCAGAUUAGACAAUUAAGGAUUAGAUAAAAAACUAAAACUUAACUUGAGCGACACGAUUACAGACAGAUGAUGAAAGUAAAAUAUUUUUGGGUUUUAAAUUUGACACUUCAUACAAAAAUGACACCAAAGAAAAAUCUUUUUGAUAUUUUCGAUAUGAAAUAUACAAAACUUCUACCAUUUUUUUGAAUUUUCCUUUUAUAAAAAGCUCCUAUUUGAAAAAAAAUCUUUUUGAAAAUUUUGAAUUAUGAAUGCAUGGUAAAGGAACAAAAGAAAAAUCUUUUUGAUGUUUUUAAGAAAAUGAGUGCGAAAGGUAAAAAGUCUUUUUGACUUUUUGGAUUGUGAAGAAAAAAAUCAAAAGCCAUAAAGAACUCUAAAAACUUACGAAACUCUCUCUUUUUUUUCUUUUCGACUCACUUUUCUUUUUCUCUCUUUUUUCAACACUUUCUUGUCUACACACCUUACUUCUAACACAUGUUUUCCCCAAAUCGGUCCGUCAAAUGACCACAUUAUCCUUAGAUACAACAUUUAGCACUAGAGAUGCUUUAGAGGUGAGUCUUCUACAAAGGGUCACGUGGGUCCCACUAGGUCUCAAUAUGAUGCAUAUAAGCAUGACCUAAAGGUUGACCUACGUUGGGGUCCACUAACAAGGCUGUUUGGGGGUGCAUAUGGUCGAUAGUGGCUGCGAGAGCUUUCCACCCACUCCAUAACACCGACGGAUCCCCCUCCUAAAAUAAGGGUGACUCAAAUAGAGGUCGUGUACAACACGUGUACUAUGAACUUGUUGUAGAAAGAAUGACUCGGGUUAUGCACAUGCUGCCAAAUAUAAAGCGGUAGCACAUAAGAAGAAAUACUAUAAACAUGUAGCACGUAGACAUUCAACAAUGUUAAAACAGAUACGAACAAUAACACAAACAAUGUCUAUACACCCAUAAUGUCAAACUAAAACCGAUACAACUCCAGAAAAUAAGCUCGAAUUUUGAAAAAUUCCCAUCAGAGUUGCCAGAGCUGUCACACCCCCUUUUCAACCGAAAAAAUUUAUUUGAAGUUUUGAAAGAGUUUUUAUUAUUAAGUGACAGAAGAAAGCAUGUUUGUUCUGAAAAGGACUUUUAUCAAUUAAAACUCAGAGUCACAGGUUGGCAAGAUCGGGUGUGCCAAGUCACCUUUGAAAAUCCUUUUAAAAAAUGUUUGACUCUUUAAAAUUGGUUUGCGAACAGAGAUUUCAGUUAAGGAAUUUUGUUGAUCGAGGGAAAGGUGUUAGGCAUCCCUCAAUACCGUGGUUCAAUCACGUUCGCUCGAUGGAGCAUAUCGGCUAAUUUAACACUACGAAUGUAUAAACCACAUAAAACAAGCAACAAACAAAUCAAACAAAGUUCAAAACCGAAAUAAUAUCCAGUUCGAUUAUUACAGACCCAAAAUAAAAGGUACUGAAAUAUAAACCUACGCUAACCUACACUAAUCCUAAACUACACUCCACCCGAUGCUUCAGGCCUUGAUCAUGAGCCUCCUUUACGUAUAUGAUACUUCGAGGCAUUCUCCGAUGAAUGAGUACAAUUUUUAUUGGGGAAUUCUCUGGCCAAAUGAGUACAAUUGAUCCAAACUCAUCAAUCAAAACCAUUCAACAAAUAUUUUUUCAUCAUUCAGCAAUCACAAGUCCUAAUUUUUUCCUACCCAACCUAGAAUUGCCUAUUCAUUCUCAACCUAAAACAUAAUAUUAUCGAGUUCGAUAUGAUGAAAAAUUAUUCCGAAUCAAACAUCCAUUAAUGAAUCCAAGUAAACCAAUGUUCACCUUCUAUCAAACUUUCAAAUCCCGCCCCGAAUCUUAAUUUUUUUCGAUCAAAUAACCAAUUUCAAAAUAGAAACAACCAAUCAAAGCCACGACAAUCAUGGAUAUUCAAACUUAAUAUCAAAAUUAUAUCAUCAAUCAUCACGAACCAUGCAAAUCACAACAUCAACAUAUCAAAUUAAGUAAAAUAAAAAGGAGUUGAAAAUUUGGACCUUAGGAGAAGCUUUCAAAAUCGAUGUAUUAUUCCGAUUAAACUCGGGUUCUCUGCAUCCAAAACCUCCAAUUCGAACCUCAACAGUAGACGAACUCCAACUCGGGAUCACCAAAAUUCAUUUUGCCGAAGCUUCGAAAGAUUACAAUGAUCGUAAAAUAACACUUCCUGGUGAUAAAUUCGCCAAGACGAUCGAACGGAGGGUACGAGUUGCCAUUACUAACCACGGAAUUUUGGUGGGUUUGAACAGAGGUGGAUCAGGUUUUGGUCAAGAUCUCAAUCCCUGGUGAAUAUGGCGAUUUUGACGAUAAUUUUGCUAGAAAACCGUCCCUCUAAUUCCGUUCAACUCGGUUUUUCUUUCUCAUCUCUCUUCCAUCCUCUUAUUCUCGAUCUCUCCCUCUCAAAUCCCCUCUCUCUUUCACUAUUUCCCUCUCUCGAUUUCUCUCUCUCUCUCCCUCAAUCCAUCUUCUCUACCUUAUGCAUCCGAGUAUGUUGCUACCUGUGUGAGCUCCUCCCUUUGGAAAUGGAAAACCCCGAUAUUCUGUGUAAUGGCGUGAAGUGUAUAUGGUUGUUUGUGUAUGACAGUGACCAGAUCCCCGAGUGUGUGCAAAUGGUUUUGUCGUAAGAAGAAAAAUGGUGUUUUUUGGGGGGUGUUCCCUGGAAAAAGGAAGAAGAUGAUGCUCCUUUUGUUCUUUCUCCCAAUGAUGAUGAUCUCUGAUGGAAUCGUGAAUGGGAACCCCCUUUAUUUUUUUGUUGUCUAUAUAUAUAUUGUUCUCAUUUUCCUUUGUGAAGAAGAAAUCUGAGGGGUCACGUGGAUGGGGUAGUGGGGGUAGGGUAUAGGGUAGGUGGGGUAAGGUGAGUUGGUUAGGAUAAGAUUUGUUAGGAUAAGGUUAGGGAUUUAAUUUGUUAGAGAUUUUAUUAAAGAUUGUUAUUUUUGUACUUUUGUGGGAUAUAAUUAUACGGAUGAGGACACGUAGUAAUACGGAGGUAAAAUGAUAAAAAUGCUAUUGGGGAGGGACAAAAUUAGGUGUCUACAAUAUUGUUUGUCCAACACCAUGGUGGUAUUAUACAACGGUAGAAAAUCCCAAUCCAGGCCUCAGGAAAAAAAAAGAAUUCAGUAAUUAGAUUUUUUAAGAUACAGAGCAAUGUAAAUAUUUGUCAGAAUGAAAGCAACAGAUUUUUUAAUGACAGUGGUUUCUGGCCAACUUGUCCACCUCAACUAUUCCAUCGGGUACCUGCUACCUCCCACCAACACAGAUACUGGGUGACGUUUUUCACCAAAGCUUAGACAGAUUGGAAGAAAUGAACUAGUACUUUUGCCUCAGGUGGAAUUUGAACCCGAGACAUCAUGGUUCUCCUAAACAAAGGGGCAUUCUGAUGCACAAAGUAUCCUGCAUUCACGCAGAGUUCGGGGAAGGGCUGCAUCUCAAGGGGCUGUGAUGACCCCUCAUUUAAAUAAUGUGUUAAAAAUUACACUAGUGAUGCUGCCUCAAUUAUGAGUAUGAUUGUUGACCCUUGAUUCAAGUAAUGUGAAUAAAGAUUAAAUUUCUUGUGACAAGCUGCCUCGAUAUGGUGCACUGAUUGACACAGUUGGCCUUUUUUCAAUAUUUUUCUUUUAAAGGAAAGGACUAACUGGCAUAAGGUUUUGGCAUCCUCAAUAGUAAAACUAGUAUUCCUAGUGUCUUCAAUUUUAUGUUAUUCAGUAAUAUUAAGGGAUGGUUCUGAAUGAAUAACAGGAUGCGCAUUACAAAAACAUCUAACCGCUUUCAGAUUUGGCAUAAACUUCAAGUAUCAUAAACUUCAAAACAGCUAGAGCUUAUCCUCUAAUAAAUACAACUAAAAGUUAUGAUUCUUAAGACUAAACUACAUCCAGAAUCUUGAAAUGACAGAUUUCAGGCAAGUAAUGAACUUUUUAGUUGUACGAAAAAAUGAAAGUUCUAGUUAACGUUAACAUGUUAGCUUUGUUACUUUAUUUUUGUGUCGUUCCAAGUAUAUAUUAACCGUGGACCAGCAACUAAUUAGCUAGCAUUUGUUCCAUUCAUUUUUCAAGAAAGUCUCAUAUUGUAUAUAGUUCUCCGUCUUUAUUUUAGCGGUUCCUAUAAACUUAUGUACAUGCCUCCCCCCCCCUCUCUCUCUUACACACACACAUAUAGAAAUUUAAAAGAUUCCCUUCAAGUCACCACUUCUUCAUAAGUAUAAUUUUUCUUUCAAACAAAGAGUACAUCAUUAUUAAAUGUCAGAAAUUUAUCAAACCAGACAAGAUGAUCACCAACCUUAAAAGACAUGUGGAAGGUCAUCGGUGUCCACUCAUUCAUUAGAACUGAGAGCAUCUUUCGUACUUGGGCGAGUCGCAUAUCCAGGGGACUAGAUGGUGACUGAAUUUUAUGUAAAUUCAGUGAAGAAGAGGUAACAUGAAACAAAUAACAACAUAUCUGUAACACCCCGUAUUCAAGUACGUGUAUUGGCGUAUUCAAGUACGUGUAUUGGUCUUAUUUAUAUGGAAUUAAUUUUUUAUUUUAUUUUAUUUUAUUUAUACCGGAAUUUACCCGUCGAUGGUUCCAUGCAAAGGUUAUUGAAUAAGCUUUCCAACGAUAUAAAGAUUUCCAAAAACGGAUAGGUUUCAGAUAUAAUCGACCACGUUCGAAACUAUAAAACGGUGGUCGGGAUAUUUGGGAAUAGUAAAUGUGCAGGAAAAUUUCCUGCACACAAACUACUGAGGCCAGCUGAAUUUUUGGGUCAACUUCGAAUGAUCAUAACUCCCUUAAUAUAAUGAACUGCGAGGUUUGAGACCUAUGAAAAGAAAGAUCUUUGAGUCCUCUUUCCAAUGCAAUUGGUUUCAUCCAAAUACAACCUCUGAAUAAGGAGUUAUACUCGUUUUACUUCAGCCUAUUAAAACAGAUUUUUAGGGUCAACUUCAAACGACCAUAACUCCUUGUACAGGACGAACUAGGUGGCCUACUUUAUAUGAGAUAAAAAUCCUUUUAAUUAUCCUUCCAAAGAUACCAAUUUUACCCAAAUCCGAUAUCGGAGCAAAGAGUUAUGGUCGAUCUACUUUAGCUUAUCAAAACAGUCCACCAAAGGACAGAUUUGGCAUUAUUUAAAUUUUAAAGGCAUUUUGGUCAUUUCCUAUUAUAUUAUGAAUGGGAAUAUGUGUANNNNNNNNNNNNNNNNNNNNNNNNNNNNNNNNNNNNNNNNNNNNNNNNNNNNNNNNNNNNNNNNNNNNNNNNNNNNNNNNNNNNNNNNNNNNNNNNNNNNNNNNNNNNNNNNNNNNNNNNNNNNNNNNNNNNNNNNNNNNNNNNNNNNNNNNNNNNNNNNNNNNNNNNNNNNNNNNNNNNNNNNNNNNNNNNNNNNNNNNNNNNNNNNNNNNNNNNNNNNNNNNNNNNNNNNNNNNNNNNNNNNNNNNNNNNNNNNNNNNNNNNNNNNNNNNNNNNNNNNNNNNNNNNNNNNNNNNNNNNNNNNNNNNNNNNNNNNNNNNNNNNNNNNNNNNNNNNNNNNNNNNNNNNNNNNNNNNNNNNNNNNNNNNNNNNNNNNNNNNNNNNNNNNNNNNNNNNNNNNNNNNNNNNNNNNNNNNNNNNNNNNNNNNNNNNNNNNNNNNNNNNNNNNNNNNNNNNNNNNNNNNNNNNNNNNNNNNNNNNNNNNNNNNNNNNNNNNNNNNNNNNNNNNNNNNNNNNNNNNNNNNNNNNNNNNNNNNNNNNNNNNNNNNNNNNNNNNNNNNNNNNNNNNNNNNNNNNNNNNNNNNNNNNNNNNNNNNNNNNNNNNNNNNNNNNNNNNNNNNNNNNNNNNNNNNNNNNNNNNNNNNNNNNNNNNNNNNNNNNNNNNNNNNNNNNNNNNNNNNNNNNNNNNNNNNNNNNNNNNNNNNNNNNNNNNNNNNNNNNNNNNNNNNNNNNNNNNNNNNNNNNNNNNNNNNNNNNNNNNNNNNNNNNNNNNNNNNNNNNNNNNNNNNNNNNNNNNNNNNNNNNNNNNNNNNNNNNNNNNNNNNNNNNNNNNNNNNNNNNNNNNNNNNNNNNNNNNNNNNNNNNNNNNNNNNNNNNNNNNNNNNNNNNNNNNNNNNNNNNNNNNNNNNNNNNNNNNNNNNNNNNNNNNNNNNNNNNNNNNNNNNNNNNNNNNNNNNNNNNNNNNNNNNNNNNNNNNNNNNNNNNNNNNNNNNNNNNNNNNNNNNNNNNNNNNNNNNNNNNNNNNNNNNNNNNNNNNNNNNNNNNNNNNNNNNNNNNNNNNNNNNNNNNNNNNNNNNNNNNNNNNNNNNNNNNNNNNNNNNNNNNNNNNNNNNNNNNNNNNNNNNNNNNNNNNNNNNNNNNNNNNNNNNNNNNNNNNNNNNNNNNNNNNNNNNNNNNNNNNNNNNNNNNNNNNNNNNNNNNNNNNNNNNNNNNNNNNNNNNNNNNNNNNNNNNNNNNNNNNNNNNNNNNNNNNNNNNNNNNNNNNNNNNNNNNNNNNNNNNNNNNNNNNNNNNNNNNNNNNNNNNNNNNNNNNNNNNNNNNNNNNNNNNNNNNNNNNNNNNNNNNNNNNNNNNNNNNNNNNNNNNNNNNNNNNNNNNNNNNNNNNNNNNNNNNNNNNNNNNNNNNNNNNNNNNNNNNNNNCCACUCCUAUUACGAUUUAUUCACUUGUUUCUGAUUUCUAUUGAGCUCCUAUAUCAUAUGUGAUUAUCUAUAACUUUACUUACUCAGUACAUAUUUCGUACUGACGUCCCCCAUGGGGGACCUGUAUUUUAUGAUGCAGUCACAGGUACCUCAGCUCAUACACCGCAUAAGUAGGAGCCAGGAUAUCCAGCUGCUUUUGGUGAGCUCCAGUAUGCUUCGGGGCUUUCCGUGUCAUAUCCAGUCACUUUUGAUAUUUUAUAGAAGUUAGUUAUAUGGCGGGGUGUGUCCUAACCUUAGUUAAACUUUGUGUAUUGUCUAGAGGCUUUGUAGACCUAAUGUACAGUCAAGGUGGUGUUUUGUUAAUAGACGUGAUGGCUCCAACGACCAAGUAUUAUAUAUACAUAUAUAUAUGUGUUUGAUCUUAUACCGGUGAUUAUUUCCUUUUAUAUGCGACAUGAUGAUGUUUGAAUUUCGGGUUGUCAUAGUGGUAUGCAUGGGAAGUAUAUGUGCUCGAGCUUAUACAAGUAAUUAUUUCCUUUUAUAUGCGACAUGAUGCUGUCCGAAUUUGGGGUUGUCAUAGAGGUAUGCAUGGGAAGUAUAAGGUUAUAAGCUGGUUCUCCCGGGCCUCCUCGGUUACGGGUGCCAGUCCGCCCCAAUAGGAUUUGAGGCGUGACAAUAUCGAUCUAAAGGAACACACACACGAUAAGGAAACACAUAGGAUACAAUUUUCUCUUUUAUAAUUUGAUGAGAUGACAUGUUCUAUAACUACCAUUUGCAACAUAAUGAGGGCAAAUGGAGAAAGGAAAGAAGGACAAGUAUAGACCACAAAACAAUUUAAAUUAGAAAAAGAAAAGAGAGAUAAAUUCAAGAACAUAAAUGAUUACCAUGCUUUUCCAUAGAACAUAAAAAUAAGAAAAUGCAGCUACAAGGAAAAAAAGCACUCGGUCUGAAGUUUCUCAAAGGCACAAAAAUUAGCUGAAGAAUCUACCAGCGACAAAAUUAACAUCAAUCAAAGUGCUAUUAGGCUCUACAAAAUGUACUAAAGAUGAUCGUAUGAAGAUUUUUUUAAAGUUAAAGUUUCUAUAAUUGAACACUGUAGGAAAAUAGAUAUCACUGAUUAAAACAAAAGGUUACAUGCAAAACUUGAGAUCUUGAAAAAAAAUGCACCAACUUGAACGCCUCUUAUUCCAAUGGUCCAAACACAAAGUGGGGGUAUUUGAUUUAAUCGGAUAUGAAAAGAGUACAAAUACAAAAAUUAAAAAGGAUCUACCAGAGAGAAUUAAAAAGGAAGGAACUCACACAUACUUACCGGUGAUAGAUUGUAGAUGCUAGUCAAAUUGGAGUUGUUUCAUUGCCAUUGAAGAAAACUCCAGAACCUUAAGUGGAAAUAAUAGUUGGAGAAAAAAAAUAAGAAAUCAGUGUGGUCGUGUGAUCGAUGGAACUGCGGGAGAGUGGAAUAGAAGGAAGGAAGAAGUCUGCGGAAGAGUGGGAAGUCGAUCGGAGCUCCGAUGAUCGAUGGCUCCGUCAAGACCUUUCCCUUUCUAGACCAUUCUUGCUAAUAGUCAGCUUUCCAUUUCUCUAGUUUUUUUUUUUUUUUUAAUCUUUUUUCUUUAUUUUGCUUGGAUAAUAAAUAAUUCAACUUUCCAUUUCUUUAGCUUUUUUUAACCAACAAAAAUUUUCUUGGAUAAUAAAAUGGGCUUGGAGCCCCAACGUUUAAUUAAAAAAAGAUACAUACAUUUUUGUAACUACAAAAAUUUGUUAUAGUUAGUUUAUUAUGAUUACAUUAAUGCUAUUAAUAUGAUACUACUUCAAGUGCAAGAAAAAUAAAUAUAUUUAAUAUGGAUAACAAUUUUUUUUUUGGUCUCAUAUAACUUGAUAUAUUUAUUUUUUGCGCAAUUAUUAAGAAGAAAUUUAUAAGAGUUGUAAAUUGAUUAAUACGAUUCUAUUAAAUUCACAUUAAUUAUUGUUAUUACCUAUUUGAUCAGUUAAUUACUUUCAUUAAAUUACUAAGGGUAAAGUUGAAAAAAAAAUAUCGAAGUAUCUUUUUGAUUUUUUAAAUAUGUCAAUUAUUUUGAGUAAUUAUUUUUGACAAACAUGUCAAGUAGUAUAAAACGUAGGUAGUAAUAUUGCAACAACAAAUUUUAAAUCACUGUUAAAAAUAGUAAUUAUUAGAUAUGAAAUUUUAUUACAAAAACAAUUUGUAGCUAUAUCGUUUUACCAUGACAUUAAUUAUAUCUAUUAAAAGUCAUCGUCUAUUGCCACAAAUUUUCUUACUUAAAGAAAAAUAUUUUUUAGCCACAAAUUUUGUUACAAACAUUUUAUUCAUGUGGUUAAAAGGUUACUGUUACUACAAUAAAUUUUAAUUCGUGGAAAAAAUUAAUAAUUAGCUAUGAAAUUUUAUUAUAACAAAAAAUUUGUGGCUAUUUUGUUUGACUAUUGCCACAAUUUUUACAAGUGAAGCAAAACUUUUAAUUUAGCUAUAAUAGUUUGUUUCAAAUUAUUAAUCAUGGCUAAAAGAUUACUAUUAUUAUAGAUACUUUCAUUGCGUGGCAAAAAUUUAUAGUUAGCCACAAAAUUUCAUUGUAGCUAUAUGAUUGUAGCUAUUUAGAUAAUUAUAGCCACGAUCUUUAGCAAUUAUAGCAAAAACGAAGAUUUAGCUUUAUCAAUUUAAUUUUUGUGGCUAAGAAAUUCAGUGAAUUUGUAGAUAGCUACGAAAUUUAUUUUUUGUGGUUGUAACUUGGUAAUAUAGCUUACAUUUCGUAGCUUAUGCAUUUUCUUGUAGUGUAUCCAAAUAAGAUUAAAUAUCUCCUUUGGCAAUGCUUUCAUGACAUGAUUCCUAGUAAAGCUUAUUUACAGUAUAUCGAGAUUAACAUUGAUGACACGUGCCCAAUUUGCAAACAAUACAGAAACUAUUCAACAUAUUUUUAAUGCAAUUCAAUCACUAAUCUUUGAAAAACAUAAAUUUCAAUCCCAACAGUGCCACUCCUAAAUAAUACUCCCUUCGUCCCAUUUUACUCGUCCCAAAUUGGGAUGACACAACUAUUAAGAAAAAUAAUAAAUAACAUCGCUAGUUUACCAUAUUAUCGCUAUUAAAUGAUGUUUACAGUUUAAUUUAAAGAAAAAGUAUUUAAUACAAAGGGUAAAAUAUGAAAAAAAAAUUAUCUUGUCUUGAAAAGUAAAAAAUGACAAGUAAAAUAAGACACUAGAUUAAAAAAUUUGAAAUGAAUAAAAUGAGACGGAGGGAGUAUCUUAUAAUCCUCAUCUUAUAAUCCUCCUAAGCGUCAAGGAUUGAUGACUGGAGAACCUCUUCCCCUAUAUCAUCUAGCACAUCUAAAUUAAUAGGAAUAAUAAUAAUUAAAAAAAACAUUAAUUAGCUAAGUCAAUACAACCUAAUACAUAGUAAAUUGUGCAAUAUAUUGAAUGCAAAAUGCUUUCGGAAAAUAAGCUACUACUUUGUAACAAGAAAAAGUGUCUUAAAUUGCACGGUACAAUCUAAUAUAAUUUAAAUUGACUGUUUUUUUUUUAAAAAAUCAUAUCAUUCUUAGAGUUAUAAAAGGUAGAUGAUAUCUAUCUUUUUAUGGAAAGUGUUUAUACUAUUUAUUUGCUUAUCUUAUUAUAGUUUUCAUAUUAAUACUCCUUCCCCCAUCCCCACCCAAAAAACAAAUAAUUAAGAGAAUAAGGAUAAAAUUAAACAUUUCAAAUAUGAAGGCGAGAGCAUUUUAACCCAAAAACGUAAAGAGGAAUAAAUUUGAUCAAAUUUAAAUAGUAAACAAUGUCUCGCAUACACUAUCAGAAAUUAGGUCUAUCGCAAUGAAAUUUUUAGCGAUGGUUGCAAAAGCAUUGCAAUAAAUGACCUAUUGCCGUUGCAAAAAAAAAUUAUUGGGUAAAAAUAUAUCUAUUGCAAUGGUUUUAUUAAUUUCCUUUCUAAAAUUUCAAAAGUCCGCUAUAAGCAAUUUUAAGAAAACCCUUCCACUCUCAAACCUAUUCUCUGUCAAUUAGCUCUCUCAAACAUUUCUCUCUCAAGAUUUGCUCAAUCUCUCAAAUCAUUUCUCUCUCGAUUUGUACCUCAAUUUGCAAUUAGGACUAAUUGCAUUUUGGUGGGUUAACCACAGAAAAUGCCGGUGGAGAUCGAGGAUAUUAUUCUAUAAAAAAAUUUACUUGUAGCGCUAGUUGGUUCAAUGGAAAAUGAUACACGUAUUGUGCAUUUGGAGAUGACGGCGGCGGAGAUUUUAAGCAAGGGUAAACAAUUAAGGUUGUCUAGGGAUUUGAUGGAGCAGGUUUUGAUUCGCCGACUUUUGGUAAUUAUGUAUCGGCAAAACCCCCUUUUCAGUGUUUGGUAAUUGUCUUAACGUGUCUCUUUAGUAUGUUUUAUCUUCAAACAGCUCGUUGAUUGUUUUCACAGUGAUUAUGUAUGUCUGACGAUAUGUGUGUUCAGGUAUUACUUCUCAGAGAUGAUAUGUCUGACGAUAUGUGUGGCCAGGAGGUCACAGUUUCAAGCCGUGAAAGUAGCCUGUUGUAGAAAUGCAUGGAAAGGCUGCAUACAAUAGACCCUUUGGCCCUUCCCAGACCCAAUGCGUAACAGGAUCUUUAGUGCAUUAGGCUGACCUUUGCCAUUUCAGAUUAUAUCCAUAUCACGUGGUAUGAUUUUCUGUUAUAUAAAAGGUGAGGAAUCACCUCAUGGUUGACAUUGUUUCGUUACGUCAUUCAGAUCAAAUGUGGGGAUAUUCUUUAGUGUUGAAUUUAGCUUCUUGGCUAAUGUACUGAACUGGUAACAUUAGUCUGCAAGUAAUGGGCUAAAGAAUGAGACUACCCUUUGACAUAACUUGUAGCUAGGUGUAAUGGGAUAAACAUGUCUUACUUAUCUAUUCCAGUCCUGAAUCAUUUGCUUUUUAGCCUCACUAUUGCAUUUCAAUUUUUGUUGAUCUUAGCCAUUUGUCUCCAGAAAAUAUUAUAGAAAAUGAAUGGAUAUGCAUCAUAUUGAUGAAAGAAGAAACUAUUGAUAUAAGAUUCUGUAGUAGCAUGGAUUCCUGAAUCAUUUGCUUUUUAGCCUCACUAUUGCAUUUCAAUUUUUGUUGAUCUUAGCCAUUUGUCUCCAGAAAAUAUUAUAGAAAAUGAAUGGAUAUGCAUCAUAUUGAUGAAAGAAGAAACUAUUGAUAUAAGAUUCUGUAGUAGCAUGGAUUCCUGAAUCAUUUGCUUUUUAGCCUCACUAUUGCAUUUCAAUUUUUGUUGAUCUUAGCCAUUUGUCUCCAGAAAAUAUUAUAGAAAAUGAAUGGAUAUGCAUCAUAUUGAUGAAAGAAGAAACUAUUGAUAUAAGAUUCUGUAGUAGCAUGGAUUCCUGAAUCAUUUGCUUUUUAGCCUCACUAUUGCAUUUCAAUUUUUGUUGAUCUUAGCCAUUUGUCUCCAGAAAAUAUUAUAGAAAAUGAAUGGAUAUGCAUCAUAUUGAUGAAAGAAGAAACUAUUGAUAUAAGAUUCUGUAGUAGCAUGGAUUCCUGAAUCAUUUGCUUUUUAGCCUCACUAUUGCAUUUCAAUUUUUGUUGAUCUUAGCCAUUUGUCUCCAGAAAAUAUUAUAGAAAAUGAAUGGAUAUGCAUCAUAUUGAUGAAAGAAGAAACUAUUGAUAUAAGAUUCUGUAGUAGCAUGGAUUCCUGAAUCAUUUGCUUUUUAGCCUCACUAUUGCAUUUCAAUUUUUGUUGAUCUUAGCCAUUUGUCUCCAGAAAAUAUUAUAGAAAAUGAAUGGAUAUGCAUCAUAUUGAUGAAAGAAGAAACUAUUGAUAUAAGAUUCUGUAGUAGCAUGGAUUCCUGAAUCAUUUGCUUUUUAGCCUCACUAUUGCAUUUCAAUUUUUGUUGAUCUUAGCCAUUUGUCUCCAGAAAAUAUUAUAGAAAAUGAAUGGAUAUGCAUCAUAUUGAUGAAAGAAGAAACUAUUGAUAUAAGAUUCUGUAGUAGCAUGGAUUCCUGAAUCAUUUGCUUUUUAGCCUCACUAUUGCAUUUCAAUUUUUGUUGAUCUUAGCCAUUUGUCUCCAGAAAAUAUUAUAGAAAAUGAAUGGAUAUGCAUCAUAUUGAUGAAAGAAGAAACUAUUGAUAUAAGAUUCUGUAGUAGCAUGGAUUCCUGAAUCAUUUGCUUUUUAGCCUCACUAUUGCAUUUCAAUUUUUGUUGAUCUUAGCCAUUUGUCUCCAGAAAAUAUUAUAGAAAAUGAAUGGAUAUGCAUCAUAUUGAUGAAAGAAGAAACUAUUGAUAUAAGAUUCUGUAGUAGCAUGGAUUCCUGAAUCAUUUGCUUUUUAGCCUCACUAUUGCAUUUCAAUUUUUGUUGAUCUUAGCCAUUUGUCUCCAGAAAAUAUUAUAGAAAAUGAAUGGAUAUGCAUCAUAUUGAUGAAAGAAGAAACUAUUGAUAUAAGAUUCUGUAGUAGCAUGGAUUCCUGAAUCAUUUGCUUUUUAGCCUCACUAUUGCAUUUCAAUUUUUGUUGAUCUUAGCCAUUUGUCUCCAGAAAAUAUUAUAGAAAAUGAAUGGAUAUGCAUCAUAUUGAUGAAAGAAGAAACUAUUGAUAUAAGAUUCUGUAGUAGCAUGGAUUCCUGAAUCAUUUGCUUUUUAGCCUCACUAUUGCAUUUCAAUUUUUGUUGAUCUUAGCCAUUUGUCUCCAGAAAAUAUUAUAGAAAAUGAAUGGAUAUGCAUCAUAUUGAUGAAAGAAGAAACUAUUGAUAUAAGAUUCUGUAGUAGCAUGGAUUCCUGAAUCAUUUGCUUUUUAGCCUCACUAUUGCAUUUCAAUUUUUGUUGAUCUUAGCCAUUUGUCUCCAGAAAAUAUUAUAGAAAAUGAAUGGAUAUGCAUCAUAUUGAUGAAAGAAGAAACUAUUGAUAUAAGAUUCUGUAGUAGCAUGGAUUCCUGAAUCAUUUGCUUUUUAGCCUCACUAUUGCAUUUCAAUUUUUGUUGAUCUUAGCCAUUUGUCUCCAGAAAAUAUUAUAGAAAAUGAAUGGAUAUGCAUCAUAUUGAUGAAAGAAGAAACUAUUGAUAUAAGAUUCUGUAGUAGCAUGGAUUCCUGAAUCAUUUGCUUUUUAGCCUCACUAUUGCAUUUCAAUUUUUGUUGAUCUUAGCCAUUUGUCUCCAGAAAAUAUUAUAGAAAAUGAAUGGAUAUGCAUCAUAUUGAUGAAAGAAGAAACUAUUGAUAUAAGAUUCUGUAGUAGCAUGGAUUCCUGAAUCAUUUGCUUUAGCCUCGCUAUUACAUUUCAAUUUUUAUUGAUCUUAGCCAUUUAUCUCCAGAAAAUUUUUGGUCUAAUAAGUUUAUUUAUUCUUAUGCUGUGCUUCUUUUCAGGUUCACCAUACAACUUCUCAUUUACUUCAAUCAGCACUCAAAAGAGUAAUUGGUCAGGAAACAUCUCAAGCAGGAUCAAUGGUUGCUUUUGAUCGUCUUAGAUUUGACUUCAACUUCCAUCGACCUCUUCUUGACAAGGAACUCGAAGAAAUUGAAGGUUUGAUCAACCAAUGGAUCGGUGAUGGCAUGAUUUUGGAAACAAAAGUCAUGUCUUUGACUGAUGCAAAAGGAGCUGGGGCAAUUGCAAUGUUUGGAGAAAAAUAUGGAGAACAGGUGGGGAUACUUACCAUUUUAUGUUAAUAUGUUAAGAAUGUGAUGAUUAUAGAACAAGGGAGAUUCUUCUGGCUGCUAUCUUUUUGCUAAAUUUUGCUAUUAAAGCUGAUAUAUGGAGCGACCAACAAUCCUCUUUUAUGAGUCGGUGAGAAAUAGUGAUUAGACUGUACACCAGUCCAUUCUGAGGAUUAAGUCUGAUAGUGAGAUUUUAACCAUGUAUUAAAGUUCAACUUGAAUUAUAAGAUUAUUAAUGAAUGAUUUUGUUUUGUAAUGUGUAGAUAUUGUGUUAUAAUUUAUUAUGUAUGUAAAUAAAAAUUUACAUUAAUACGAGUGACUUUAUAUAAAUCGUUUCAAUUUAAUAACAUGUGGCAAUAAUUAUUGCAAUAGAUCAAUAAACCAUUGCAAUAGGUAGUCAAAAAGCGUUGCAACAGAAUAACAAAAGCGUCGCAAUAGAUGCUAUUGCAACGAUUUAAUGUCGUUGCAAUAGAAUCUAUUGUAACGGUUCGUAAUCGUUGCAAUAGAUGAAAAUAGGCGUUUCAAUAAGUAAUGAAAUAGUUGUAAUAGGUAGUCAAAAAGCAUUGCAACAGAAUAACAAAAGUGUUACAAUAGCUGCUAUUGCAAUGGUUAGUAACCAUUGCAAUAACAUCUAUUGCGACGGUUCGUAACCGUUGCAAUAGAUGAAAAUAGGCGUCUCAAUAAGUUAAAAAAUAACCAUCGCAACAGAUCUAUCUAUGGCGACGGUUGUCAGAAACCGUCACCAUAGCUCUACCUAUGGCGAUGGUUUACACAACCGUCGCAGAAACCGUUGUCAUAGACCAAUCGCAACGCCCACCUAUGGGACGCUUGCAGAAUCGUUGCGAUAGAUCUAUGGCAACAGUUUAUCUAUCUAUUGCAACGAUUUUGCAACCAUCACUAUAGAUCUAAUUUCUGGUAGUAAUAUGUCCUACAUGUUUGUAGAAUUUAAUUUAUUUGGCAAGCAAUUGUUACGUGACUUCUAAGUUAUUUAGUACAUAUAUCUUUUGAGGUCCUGUUGUAGCUGAUCUUAGCAUUGAUUUUUUUUUUUUUUGAUGAUUGUCAUUUCAAGUAAUUAUAUAGAGAAUUAAAUUAAUAACUUUAUUUGUUUUAUUUUAUGUGAAUUAUGUUGACAUGAUAUAAUUCUUUAAAAAAAAUUAUCAGAAGUGUAACUUAAUUACUAAAUUAAUAUUAUUAAUAAUACUUUGAAACUUUUGAAUAAACAUUUUUUAGGUGCUGAAUGUCCUAAAUUUUGAAACUCAUGCACGUAAAGCUCUUUUAAGAAAUUUUUCAUAGUUUAUUAUGUCGAUUUCAACACGGUAUACUACAACUAAAAGACUCCCUGUAUGUGAAUUCUACCAUAUUAUUAUGAAGUUCGAUCUGGUAAAUUUUAAAAGAUAAAUUUCAGCAUAUUUGUGCUAAAAUUUCAAGAAAAAAUGUUGAAACUCAAUUAAUAUAUAGACCUAUAAUUUUGAUUCCAACUUUCUUAAGAUGAAAAUAGUGAAAAGUCCCCCAGGAACAUCCGAUAAAAUUGAUACUAGACAAGGACGAUUAGCAUGGCCGCUUCGUGAAAGUGAUGACACACACAAAUCGAGAAAUAAAGAUGGUGAAAAAGAAAAAAAGUUGAUCUUUACACUUCUAAGUUUGAUAUAUUUAUCAAAAUAUAACUUCUGCAUAAAAGUGUAGCAAACUUCAAAUAAUUUUAGAAAUAUUUAUUUUUUAAAAUAAAACCACAAAUUUGCCUAAUUGUCAAUUUCGUCAUAUAGUCUCUGGUGUCACAAAUUUGAAAUUAUUAUGGUAUGUAUUAUUAUUAUUGGGUUGAAAAAUAUUAGUACAAAAAUGAAUUUAAGUAUACGACGAGAAGUUGUCCUAAUCAACGUUAUUAGUGAGAUGGUAUUAAAUAUUUUAGAAUAUCAAUUGUUCAUAUAAUUAAAUAAAAGCAAGGUGACCUCACAACUUUCAUGCAUGUUUCUACACUGUCAUUUUUUCAGUAAGUAUAUUGGUAUAUGAAAAAAGAAGAAAAAGAAAGUAAUUGGUAUUCUCAUGCAAAAUCAAUUUCAUUUCACAUUGUCCUCCAUGUUUGUACAUAUGUACUUAAAUUGUAAUAUAGUGGUGAAAAAAAUAAGAGCAAAUAUUACAAAAAGUUCAUCCAACUAUGAAAAAUUAUUUAAUAUUGUAAUGAUACCGUAAAAUUAUUCAAUUAAGUUUUUUUUCUUAUAAAAUUACCCAGUUAAAUUUGUCAUUAAAAAAUAUAAUAUAGUAAAAAUAAAUUAAUUUUUUAUACAGUAUAGUCAUGAACAUCACAACAACGAUAAUAACAACAUAUCCAGUAUAUUCCCAUAAAAUGAGAUCUAGGAAAGGUAGAGCGUUUACACAGUCUGUACCACUACCUCAAAGCUGAGGUAGAGAGGCUGUUUCUGAUAAAUCAUUCGCUCAAGACGGAAUGUCAUCUAGAAAAAAACGCAAUAGAGGUGCAGAAUACAGUAAAAAGUAACAUAACAACAAAUAGCAGCAGAAAAAUCUAUAUACAGGAAAAUAAUAUUAUAAAUGAUCUACCCGAAACGAUAUUUACCCAUAAAAUUUCAUGAUAGCUACAAAAUUCAUUGGUAGCGACAGACAAUUUUUAUAGUAAGUAAUAAAAAUUCAUCGGUAAUACUAUUUAAAAAUAAAUUAUAAAAAAUCUUGUAAACCACAAAACUCUUUAGGGGAAGAUUAGUAAUGAAUAUCGUAACUAAUUUUAUUUUUUCUGCUAACAAAGAGAGAGUCAUGAUUAGAGGCUUUGUAACAUCCUAGCCAGAAGAUGAAAUAAAAUGAUGAUCUUUAGCUUUUUAUAUGAGACGAAUAUUGCAUGAUAAAAACUUUUAUUCACGAAAAAAUACUAGCUUAAUUAUUCAUCCUAGUAUGAUUAACUUGAAUGGAUGAGUAAAAAAUAGUAUAACAAAUCCAGUAUGUGUUUGAUAGAAAAUAAUUUUAUAAAAAAAUAAGUUGUUUUUACUUAUUUUCAUAGAUGAAGUCAGCUAUUAAUGAAAGAUCAUUAACAUUAGUUAGAUAACCUCUUACCUUUUUUUUUUUUGGUAAUAGGGAAUAAAUAUAUAGAUAUUAAACGGUUACAGAUGGGAUAGAAGUAGUAUUAACUUAGAAAAAGUAAGAACUAAUAUUUGUAUUUGUUAUAGUCAUUAUAUUUAUAUGCGAUCAGUUUUGAAAGUUUUUUUUUUUUUUUUUUUAAAAAAAGAACUUAGGAGUUAGUAUAGAUGAGAAGAAUAUCUUGAUUAUUUGACCAAAUAUCUUGAUUAAAUUUUUGCAAUCUAAUAUUGGUAAGUAGAAUAACAAAUUAAUUAACCAAUUCUAGUAUGAUUAACUUGAAUGGAUGAGUAAAAAAUAGUAUAAUAAAUCUAGAAUGUUUUCGAUAGAAAAUAAUUUUAUUAAAAAGCAAGUUGUUUUUACUUAGAUGAAGUCAUCUAUUAAUGAAAUCUCAUUAAUGUUACUCAGAUAACCUCUUACCUUUUUUAUUUUUGUAAUAGGAAAUAGAUUUAUAAAUAUUAAACGGUUAUAGAUGGGAUAGAAGUAGUGUUAAUUUAAA
rnacentral:lncRNA from 1 species